GAAUGAGAUUAUAGACAUAAAUAAGAUUAUGGACAUAAAUAAAACACAAUAAAGCAAAAACAAUCAUAGACACAACAUUUUGGCGAUUGUAGAUUCGCAAGCUUUUCUGAAUCAUAUCCUUCACAAGUUUCUGACUAUACUUAUCAGUCAUCGGAUAGGGUCCAACUCCGCAACACAUUCUACCUCCAUCGUCAGGAGGAACGAAUCUCUGUAAACAACAUAAAGAUAAAAAAACCCUAAAGAGUUAAAUUAUGAGAUUAUAUAAAAAAGCAUAAAACAGAACACAGAGACAAAAAAAAUAAAGCGUGUGGUGAAUUUAAAAGCACCUGCUGGGGGCGUCGAAGAUAAUCACGAAGUUGUUCACGAGUAAUCACCGGUAUAUUCGGUAUACCAUCCACACCGACAGAAAUCACACGUUGUUUAGGUAGAUCUUCUUGUAGGUUUAUAAUUGGUUCCGUUGUCCGGCGGCGCAGGAAGAGAGGGAACAAAUCACUUCGUUCAGGCCGGGCGAUAAGCGCGAAGCUUCAUUGAAACUCGACGCGAAGUUUCAAUGUCGGCAGGUUCGGACUUCAAGCGACAACGGUGAUGCAGGAUACGACGGCGUGGUGUACGAAAACAGAGGCGCAGGCGACGGCGGCAGGGAAGGCAAGUACCACGACACAGGGGUGGGCGAGGUUGCGGUCGACGACAGUGACGCAGGCGACGACAACGUGGCAGGCGAAGGCAAUGAAAUGGACGACGGUGGGGAUACGGGCAGUAGCGCUUCACAAAGAGAAGAAGAUCGCACCUUGAAUCGCAUGCUUCAUACUUCAUAGACAAAUCCGUGUGUUUUAGAAUCCGGGUCGAGUUGGAUUUGGAGCUUCGCUCUCUUUGGAUCUGGGCCGGCUUGGCGGUCCGGGUCUUGACAAAAAAAAAUUGGUUCCGUUUCAUUUUAUUUAAUAUUUAUAGCAUCAACAAAAAUUUGGUAUAUUCUUAUAUUAAUGUAUCUUUGAUAUAUAUAGUAUUUAAUUUUAACUGUAAUAGUUAAAAGAAAAAUAGUAAUAUACAUAUAGAUUUAGUUAACAUGUCUUCAGAUUACGUACCAAAAAAAUUGUAUAAAAAUAUAAAUUUCUAAAAAAUGAUUAAAAGAUGUUGAGCCUUCUUAAUAAUGUGAAUAAAAUAUACAUAAGUAUAUAUUAUAUAACAAAUCAUUAUUACUUUGUGCUUGCUCUUAAACUAAUUGCAUAUAUACACAAUAUAAAUAAUAAUUGUGAAUCUUAGUUCAUCUUCAAAUUUUCUCUUAAUAUUUAAAAGAAUAAAAAUUUAAAUACAUGUUAUUUUUUUAACAUAAUAUACNNNNNNNNNNNNNNNNNNNNNNNNNNNNNNNNNNNNNNNNNNNNNNNNNNNNNNNNNNNNNNNNNNNNNNNNNNNNNNNNNNNNNNNNNNNNNNNNNNNNNNNNNNNNNNNNNNNNNNNNNNNNNNNNNNNNNNNNNNNNNNNNNNNNNNNNNNNNNNNNNNNNNNNNNNNNNNNNNNNNNNNNNNNNNNNNNNNNNNNNNNNNNNNNNNNNNNNNNNNNNNNNNNNNNNNNNNNNNNNNNNNNNNNNNNNNNNNNNNNNNNNNNNNNNNNNNNNNNNNNNNNNNNNNNNNNNNNNNNNNNNNNNNNNNNNNNNNNNNNNNNNNNNNNNNNNNNNNNNNNNNNNNNNNNNNNNNNNNNNNNNNNNNNNNNNNNNNNNNNNNNNNNNNNNNNNNNNNNNNNNNNNNNNNNNNNNNNNNNNNNNNNNNNNNNNNNNNNNNNNNNNNNNNNNNNNNNNNNNNNNNNNNNNNNNNNNNNNNNNNNNNNNNNNNNNNNNNNNNNNNNNNNNNNNNNNNNNNNNNNNNNNNNNNNNNNNNNNNNNNNNNNNNNNNNNNNNNNNNNNNNNNNNNNNNNNNNNNNNNNNNNNNNNNNNNNNNNNNNNNNNNNNNNNNNNNNNNNNNNNNNNNNNNNNNNNNNNNNNNNNNNNNNNNNNNNNNNNNNNNNNNNNNNNNNNNNNNNNNNNNNNNNNNNNNNNNNNNNNNNNNNNNNNNNNNNNNNNNNNNNNNNNNNNNNNNNNNNNNNNNNNNNNNNNNNNNNNNNNNNNNNNNNNNNNNNNNNNNNNNNNNNNNNNNNNNNNNNNNNNNNNNNNNNNNNNNNNNNNNNNNNNNNNNNNNNNNNNNNNNNNNNNNNNNNNNNNNNNNNNNNNNNNNNNNNNNNNNNNNNNNNNNNNNNNNNNNNNNNNNNNNNNNNNNNNNNUAACUAUCUUAUAUGUAUUUUAAUUGAAAAGAGUAAUGAUACAUAACUAAUAAAAAAAAAGAAAAAAGACAGAUAGGUCCUUUACUUUUUAAAUUUUUUAUAAAUACAUCCCUGACAAAAUUUAAAUACAAAAAAGUCCCUAACUUUAACAAACGGAGGACAAUUUAGUCCUUUCGUCUAUUUGCCUCUCAUAUACCAAAUGGAACUGGCUGACGUGGCUGAAACGGUGUCCAAGUGUCCAUUACGGUGUCACGUUGGAAGGACAAUAAAGUUUGAAGGACAAAUAAGUCCUUGAGGUCAUUUUGCAAAUAAAGUUCGAAGGAUAAAUACGUCUUUGAGAAUUUAGUUUAUUAUACUUCUAUAUGUAUCAUAUAUUACUAUUUAGUUGAAAUAUACCUAUAUUAUGUAUCAUAUAUUACUAUCUAAUUUAAUAAUCAAAUGUGUCACAUGACACUCUUAUUAAAAUUGAGAGAAAAUAUUUUUUUUUCAAAAUUAAUAAACUCCUUUCCUAAAUUCUCUCAUCUACCCCAGAGACUUUUGUCAACUUACGACUUUUUUGUAAAAGUAGUUUGAUUUUAUAAAUCUUUUGUGUCAUGCAUAAUUUAUACUGUUAGAACAAAGUGAACUAUAAUUUAAAAAAAAUUAUUCUCGUAAUAUUAUUAUGGAUAAAAAUACUAGUUCUAAUAUAAUACACAAAUGCACUAAUGCUAACUUAAUACAUGAAUUAUGCACAAAUGAACUAAUGCUAACUUAAUGCAUAAAUGAACUGAUGCUAACUAAUGCUACUGGUAUGAUGAAAACUGAAUUAAUGCAAUUUAACAAAUUCUAAUAUAAUACACAAAUGCACUACAACUGAACUAAUGCAAUUUAAGAAAAUAAGUAGAAACAGAACAAGCCCAAUUUUCGCAAUUUUAAUACAAAUAAUUUAAAUUGCAGAAUACAACAAGUUAACUAGAUUUCAAAAUACAAGCAUAAUUUUAUAAACUAAAUUCUCAUAAUAGAAGCAUAAUAGAAAUAUAAUGAACUAAAUUCUCCAUAACCUAUUUGUCCUUCGAACUUUAUUUGCAAAAUAACGUUAAGGAUUUAUUUGUCCUUCGAACUUUAUUCCCCUUCCAGCGUGGCACCGUAAUGGACACCUGGUGCCACGGACACCUAGACACCGUUUCAGCCACGUCAGUUUGGUGUAUGAGAGGCAAAUAAAUGGAAGGACUAAAUUGUCCUCUGUUUGUUAAAGUCAAGGACUUUUUUGUAUUUAAAUUUUGUCCAAGAUAUAUUUGUCAAAAUUUAAAAAGUCAGGGAUCUAUCUGUCUUUUUCCCUAAAAAAAAGACAAACAGAUUCUUGACUUUUUUUUGCGGAUAUUUUUUGUCUUUGACCAUUAAAAAAUACUUUUAGAUAUUCUUAAAAGUUGAACGAAUUAGUCCCUCUAUCCAAAUAACAAAAAAUCUGACAUGACACUUGUCACGCGUACAUAUACACAUCGCCUGGCAGAUUUUCCACCCAUGCCUACGCGUCGACAUAAAUUCUCCACUUCAUUAGUUGGCAUGAUUGAAAUACUUAAUAGUCAAAACUCAAAACGGGUGAGAUUUAUUGGGUGUUUUGUUUGCGUUUCGUUUUUAAUUUUUCUCUGAAUUCCGUAUAUGAACCCCCCACAAUUCCCAAGACCUAAUUCUCCGGUUUCCAGUUGCAGAGAUGGAAUCAUCGUCACCAUCAAAGCGCGGUAAGACCUAUUCGGAAGUGUUUUUUCCACUUCCUCCUCUUAAUCGAGAGUCUUCCAUCAUUAUGUAUGAGUUGAGGACAAUCUAUCGAUACAUGGAGGAGCAAUUCUCAUCAAUUAUCCGGGAACAAGCUCGACAAAAGGGUGCCAUAGUACCCCAAUAUGAGUGUGUUACUCUGUGUCUCUUGGAUAUUCCUGAUGACUAUGUUCCUCUGAGUCCCAUGUAUAGUCCUCAUUCCUCCGAACACUCAGCGAAGCCAUUUGAGUGAGUUUCAUGCAUUCAUGCAUGUCCUAAUUUACCUAUCAAUUGAAUUCAAUUUUCAUAAAAGAAAGCCUUGAGAAUUAUUUACAGUUUUUAUUUUGUACUUAAUUGAUUGUGUUUUAUUCUUGAUAGCAAAACGGGAUGGAUGGGGAAAUGGAUGGUGUUCAAUUAUCCUUAUUCUCCUCCUGAUGAUCUACCACGGAUGAAAGCUCAAGAAGAAGCACCUCAACCUCCACCACCUCCUCCUCCUCCUUCUCGAGAGUUUUCCAUGAUUAUGGAUGAAUUGAGGAGAAUGCGUCGAUACAUGAAGGAGCAAUUCACAUCCAUAGUUCCUAAGAAACCCCAAUCUGAGCCAUCUCCUCCGAGUCCCGUGUAUUAUACUCCUUCCUCCAAACACUCUGAGUGAGUUUCAUGCAUUCAUGCAUGCCCUAAUUUACCUAUCAAUUGAAUUCAAUUUGCAUAUUAUUUUCAUAAAAGAAAGCCUUGAGAAUUAUUUACACUGUUUAUUUUGUACUUGAUUGUGUUUUAUUCUUGAUAGGAAAACGGGAUGGAUGGUGUCCGAUUGUCCUCCUCCCGAUGAUCCACCACUACCACAAGGCGGUGAUGAUGUUCAAGCCAAGAUGGAUCGGAUGAAAGCUUAUAAAAAAGCACCUCUACCUCCACCACCUCUUCCUCCUCCUUCUUCUCGAGAGUUUUCCAUGAUUCUGGAUGAGUUGAGGAGAAUGCAUCGAUACAUGGAGGGGAAAUUCACAUCCAUUCUCCGGGAACAAGCUCGACAAAGGGAUGCCAUAGUUCCUAAGAAACCCCAAUCUGAGCCAUCUGAUGAGUAUGCUCCUCUGAGUCCCGUGUAUUAUCCUCCUUCCUCCGAACACUCAGCGGAGCCAUCUGAGUGAGUUUCAUGCACUCAUGCAUGCCCUAAUUUACCUAUCGAUUGAAUUCAAUUUGCAUAUUAUUUUCAUAAAAGAAAGCCUUGAGAAUUAUUUACAGUUUUUAUUUUGUACUUCAUUGUGUUUUAUUCUUGAUAGCAAAACGGGAUGGAUGGUGUCCGAUUGUCCUCCUCCUGAUGAUCGACCACUACCACAAGGUGGUGUUGAAGUUCAAGCUAAGAUGGAUCGGAUGAAAGCUCAAGAAGAAGCACUUCAACCUCCUCCUCCUCCUUCUCGAGAGUCUACCAUAAUUCUGGAUGAGUUGAGGAGAAUCCAUCGAUACAUGGAGGGGAAAUUCACAUCCAUUCUCCGGGAACAAGCUCGCCAAAGGUAUGCCAUAGUUCAUUUGUACGCCAACUUUUUGGUUCAUAUCUUGCCGUGUUUUUGUUUGUUAACUGUUCUUUUGCAAUUUGAUAAUUGUUCUUUUGAAUACCAUGGUUUUGAGUAUUGUUCGGGCAAUUCUGUUAUUUUUGUUGUGUUUAUCAAGAGCUGAAUUGUGAUUUAACAUUGAUAUCAUUGUUGAUCAUAUCUCUUGUUUAUACAUAAUGACAUUUAAUUAAACUCUUCUUUUGAUUUACGUUGUUGUUUCCUUAUUUUUAUGGAUUUUGUCGUGAAAAUUGUUAUAUGUAUAAGCACAUUGUCACAAUAAAAUUACUUAGGGUAUCCCACCAUUUGUAAAAUUGAUUUCUUUAGGUCACCCAGUUUUGUAUUGCAAAACACUUGGGGCCCCUGCAUCAGUGUACCUUCGGUAAACGUGAGGAAAACACCCUUGGGCCAGCAAAUUGAAAGCAUGUUAAACCUUUCUGUUCAAUUUUUUACUAUUGUUCUUGACAAAAGGGAAACUAAGUUUGAAAAUGGAUCUUCAUCCUCAACUUCUACUAUUGUUAUUAGAUAAUAGUAUAAAUUGAAUCCCUCUUAUUUUAUUUAUGUUUUAAUGUUGUUAUCAUUCUAUGUGAAGACAAUUUUUGAUUUGUAUAUGUAAACUAAAAAAGAAUAUUGCAGGUUUUUCAUGCAUCGACUCACUGAAAACGAUAGCUGUUUAAAUUCUUUUUUAAAUAGGGACUCCAAGUGGGAUGAUUGUGGUGUUGUGGACAAAGAGACACACAAGAGGAAAAACCAUCAUGAAGGUGAUGUCAUGGAAGAGACAUGCAAAAAGAAGGCCAAAUUUGUGGAAGGCUCAGAGGAGGUGAAGAAGCAACUUCAUUAUUAUUGCUGUGUUGCUAUACAUAUGCUAAUUCUGUAACACGCCGCUCAAGCAAAUAAUCUUAAAGGUGGAAUUGUUCCCAUGGCAUAUCCUGUUCUAAGAAGAUAUAUUUCAAACAUUCAAGGGCAAUCUUGCGAAUUUCAUGGCGGCUACUAUUAAAAGAUUAUCCUUUUUUGGCUGGAGAUGAUCAUAAAUAGAUAAUAUCUAUGGUGUGUGUUCACUGCCAAAGGGAUUUGCCCGCAAUUUUGCUAUAUGUUUUAAUCAAUGUUUUGACAUUUUGUUCAUUGAUUAGUCACAUUAUUCUACAUGAGGUUAAUUAUCCUGUAAAGUCUCCCCAACUUAAUAUUCUCUCUCUAUACACACACACAUUGUCUCUCCACUUCACUCUCCCAAUUGUUUGCCCAACUCUUUACAAAUUCAAAAUAUUCACACAGCUUAUUGAGGUCAUUGUGGUCUAAGCUUUUUCCGUUUAUGGCUCUCUCUGAUCAGUUUGGCCAAUUCCCUGCUGAUGGGAAGAUGAUCAAUGAAGUGGGACACAUAGGUGCCAGUUUGCAGGUAUGUUUUGUUUGUUUUGAUGAGUUAUUGUGUGCUUAAUGCUACUAAUUAAUAUUUUUGCAUUAGGAGGUUGGUGCUCGCCUUGUAUCCAUUGGUCGGACACAAGAGCUUGAAAAGGAACAACUUGCUGCUCGUGUAAAGGAAUUGGAAACUAAAGUGUCCGAGGCUUUUGGUCAAGGGUUCUAUCGAGCCGUGACCCAGGUUAAGGCUGUUUUUCCUGAAAUUGAUGUGGAUAAGCUGGAUGUGACCAAGGUGGUUUUAGAUGGGAAGCUUGUGGAUGAAGAUGCUACUGGUGAGAAGAAUGAUUGAAGUUCUUCAUUUGUAAUGGUUUGCUUUGUUUUUUCCGUAUGUUUGUAACGGUCGUCGUGCUUCCUCUGUUCGCUGAAGAACGAGGUCGCCAAUUUUGAAAAUUCGGGGAACGACUUUUUUUUAAGAAAAGUAUAGGUAGACAAUGAAAAUACUAAAAAAUGUGAACAAUGGAUAUAUUGGAUGUUCAUUUCACUAGGUGUACAGAUGGUUAUUCUAAUAUUAAAAUUUAGGUGGGUAAUUUAGAAGUGUAGUGUGUUUUGAUUUGAUUGGUGGUUGUUUAUAUUGUUCAAGAAAAUUAUUGGUUAUCUAGCGUUACCUUUUUUUAUUGUACUUACGUUGAAUCAGUUGUUGCAUUGCCUUUUGUCUUAGGGUUGCGAUCUCUCUAUUUUAUUGCUUUGUUUUAUUAUUAUGCACUAACCUUAGUAAGUUAUGAGUUUUUUAUUAUUUGGCUUAUGGUACUCUUUGAAUAUGUUUUCAUAUUAUGCUUGCUUUAUAUUAUUAUGACUUGGAUAUUUUGGUUUGCUUAUAUAUAUAUAUGGUGCAUGAAUUCGUUGUUUUGAUGAAUGUCUUAUAAAAUAGGUCUAGUACACUUAUUAACAUUAUAAUUUCUCUUUGUUUUUGAUAAUGCCAAAAGGGGAAAAAGAAUUAGUUAAGGAUGUUAUUCAUGCUUUGAUAUAACACAAUUAGAUUUCUUUAAUAUAAAAAAUAGUUGUUUUGAAAAAUUUAGAGAAUAAACAUAAACAUGGAUAUAAACAUAAUAUGUUUUCUUAGAUAAAGGAGGAACUAAGUAUUAAUUAUCCUGUUAUCAUGUUAAGUUGCUUUUGAAUUUGAUAUUGGUUUUGUGAUUGAAAAAUCUGUUUUUCAUGUGCACUUUUUCAUUUGACAACACAAGCGUAAAUGGUCUUUUAUCAAUAAUAAGAUGAAAAGAUAGAUCUAUAAAUUGUACAAAGCUCAUAGAUGAUUAGAGGCAAAGUUACAGAGGAGAGGCAACUACCACAACAAAUUAUGCUUGGCAUAGUAACAAUUUACAAGGAACAGUAGCAAAGACACAAAUUAUGCCUGAGCUAUAUAAAAUUGAAAUCAUUGCUGACUACAACAAUUUAUAUAAAUUUAAAAAAGGGCAAAAAUGUAAUCAAAUUUCUCAUUUAGAAUAAUUAGGUAAUAAUAGAGUUAGAUUAAUUACGGGUGAAAAUUCAGCCAUUCAGGUACAAUCAACUUCACAUAAAAUUGAUAGUUGAGAGUCGUUAAAUGACAAUUUAGUCAAAUCAGUCAAAUUAUCUAACCGCUCUCAAUUAUUAACUUAAAGUCGAAUGUAGCUGAGUUUCCAGGUGAGUUUCCACCUUAAUUAGUACAUGCCAAAAUCAAUAUCUUCUAGUUUUGUUGUAACUUGUAUAUAUUGUAUACAUGUAUGAUGAAGAAGAUGAUAAACUAAUAACUCAUAAAUCCUAAAUGAAUUAUCAUGCUUUAUCAUAUAUAAGUGAAAAAUGAAAAGUGAAAACUGGCCAUGAAUAUUUGAUUUAAUUAUAUUAGUAGUACAUUACAAUGUUAAAAGCUAUAAUGUUAACUUAGAUUUUGGUACUUUAUCUUUCCAGUAAAAUUGAUUAAGAGAAUGGUACUCUUAUAUGAGUGGUUUUGUUUUGUGAAUAUAACAUUAAAAAAAGUAUCAAAAGAAUUUAAUCUCAUAAUUAGCUAAUUUUAUUUGAGUUGGAUAAAUUAGAAUAUAAAAGAAUUUAAAAAUUAAUAGUUUAAACUUAAAAAUUUCCAUUUAGUUUAUAUAUUUAACAGCUUUUUUUUGUUCUAUCAAUAAUUUAACAUAAUAAGAAAUUCAUUAAAAGAUUUAUAUAGUAAUUUGUUUAUGUAUAUAUACUCAAUUAAUAACUUUUUUUUUUUCUUUUGAAAGAAAUAUUAGGAAGACAGCUGUAACAUGAGAAAGCAGAAGCAAGCGAUGAGGAAUAGAAGCAUGAAUUGAGGAAUGGGAAUGCAUGUUGGAAUUUUGAAGUGCAUAAUCAUUUUUUUAUGAUCUUUUAGUCUAAAGCAAGACAUCUAUUACUAUUAACACCAAAAGAGAACACAAUGAUAAUUAUGUGCUAAGGAUGCCUUUUUAAAUAUAUAGAUUAUUAUACUCUUGACUUUAUUAUAUAUAUAUAUAUAUAUAUUUCUUUUUUAGAAGAUCAAUUAAGUGACUGAUAAGUUUGGUAUUACUCCUAAUCCUAUAAUGUUAGAUUUUUUUACUGUAUUUAAACUUUUAGUAAAUUUUAAAACUCACUUGAAUCUAAUUAAUUUUAUGCAAAUUAAAUUUAUUUAUUAUAAUAAAAUUUGAAAUAAUUCCACUUUAUAUAGAUGUCAAAUUUAAAACUUUAAAAACAUUACGACAAAGUUGUUUAAAGAGUUAAAUCUUAAUUUGGUCUCUGAAAUUUGGUCAUAUACUUAGAAUGACCUCUACAAUUUCGUUAGUCCCAAUUAAAACUUUUAAAUUUGUAAUUGUGGCUCCAGCUUGUCCUUGCGAUCAUCUCCGUUACCGAAAUGCUGAUCUAGCACAAUUGCAUGACAUGGUUGACACUACUUAAACGACGGCGCAUUAGUUUUGCGCCCAAACUCUUUGGAAACCAUACAUUGUAAGGAUUUUCUUGAUGUUUUGCAACUUAUGAUUGUCGUAGUGAAAAAAAAAGGAGUUUUAACCCACAAAAAACUGAAACGACGUAGUUUCUAAAGAGUUUAGACGCGAAAUUAAUGCGCCGUCAUUUAAGUUGUGUCCACCAUGUCAUGCAAUUGCGUCAAAUCAGUAUUCUGGUGACGGAGAUAAUCGCAGAAACAAACUGGAGCGACAAUUAUAAAUUUAAGGAUUCUAAUUGAGACCAAUAAAAUUAUAGGAUUGUUCUGAACAUCAGACUAAAUUUUAGAAGUCAAAUUGAAAUUUAACUCUUAUUUAAAUCACUCUAAAUUUGACGGGUGAAAAAUUAUUAUAGAAAAUAACACAUUAAAAGUUUCUAUAGAUACGUGACAAAUUCUUUUGUCACCAUCCAUAAAUUAUGAAUUAUUUGCACGAAAUUCUCAGUAUGAAAACUGAACUAUCACAUUUCCAAAUCUCUGAAAAAUCUUUAUAUAGAGAUUUGUGCAUCCAAUUUCAUAGACACAUUGAUCCAAUGCUGAGCCGUGCAACUAUUUGUCGUCAUGAGCAUACCCACACCAUAUAAUUUCUUUUUAAUCCUUCCAAAAUAAAUGGCGGUGGAAAUACAUAAAUUUAUAUUUAUAUAUAAUAUAUAUAAGUUAACAUCAUUUGUUGUUGACUAAUAAAUUAUUGUAUAUAUAAAAUGAGUUCAAACUUUUAACACUUAUUUAAAGUGAAUUGCUCAAUUUAAGUUAAUUAUUUAUUUAUCAUAUAUAUAUUAAUCAAUAAUUUUAAAAACGAAAACAGAAACAUUAUAAAUGGAAUAUAUAAAAGUCCACAAGACAAUGUGUUUUGCCAACAAAUCAUGCAAUAAAAAAAUGUUUUAAAUAACAUGCAGAUUCCAGAUCUUCGAACAUAUGCUCAUGACAUACACUCAUGACAUGUCGGUAAUAAUUGAUUUUUUUUUCACAUUUUUAUAUUAUACUAUUUUUUAUUUAAAAAAAAAAACAAAAAGAAAAAUAAUUGUUUAGAAAAAUCAAAAGCAUAUAGCUAGCUCCAUCAUCCAUCACCAUCUUUCUUUUUCUUCUGCUCUUCACACACAACCCUCAGAUCUUUCAGUUCAGCUCCGAGUUUCUCAACUAGCUGCCAAUUAUUUUUCCGUUUCUCAUUUGAUUUUGCUCAUUAAAAAAAAGCAAAUUUUCAUUUUUAGGGUUUAAUGUUUUUACUUGAUCUGUUUGGAAGUUGGAACUAAGAAGUGGUGAUUUCGGGAAAAUGCUGAGUUUAUGAGGAGAAAUGGUUAUUGGGAUUUGUUUGGAUCGAGGAAAAGACUUAAACUUUUCAAUUUGCAAAACGAGGGUCCUUGUUUCCAAAAUGUGGAUCUUGUAAAAGCUGUUGACUUUGAUCAACAAAGAAAAAUAAGAGAAAAGAGAAAAAAAGGAGCAACAUUUCCCUUUUUUCUUUCCAGCUCAAGGUGGUUCAACUUAGAAGAAGCUUAAAGGUUAAGUAGCUUUUUGAAGUAGGAUGAAAAAGUACUGUGUGUAUGUAUAUUUAUAUGUUGAAGACUUGACUUGAGUUGCAUUUCUGGGGUUGUUGAGUAACUGAGUUGACUCUGAAAUCAGAUAAGAAGGUAGAUGCUAAGAUAGUAGUAUGUAGAGUAUUAUUUUAUAUGGUUAUGAAAAAGUUAGGUAUUCAGCAUGUGUGUGUGUGUUUUAACUUUUACCUAAACCAUUUUUGGAUUAAUGAAGUUACAUAUUCAUGUGUGAUGUUUGUCUCUCAUGUUUUAUUAGCUUUAAAUGCAAAAACUGAGGUUGCUGGUGUUAUUAGUUUUGGUUAUGAGAGAAUGUGAGAUCACCUACCAAAAGUCCUUUUGAUUUAAUGAAGUAGCCUUAGAUUUGAUGGAGUUUUAUUUGGUGGUUAAUUAUAUUUUCUGUGCUUACUUGAUCCUACAAAAUGUUCAUGAAGUUAGUGGCAUCAGAAAAUAAAGUGUAGAAUUGACAGAAUAUUCUGUUGUAAUGGCUUGGUACUAAAUUGAGGAUCACAUUGUUGUUUGGUAUACCCUUUUAACUUUCUACUUACACUGAGCUUUUAAAGUGAUUUGCAGACAGUUCUAGCUCCAACAUCUUACUACAUGAGAUUAGGAAAACCAAGUUAAAGACCAUGAUUGAAGUAUCUCGAGGCAGCGAAUAAGGUUUUGUUAGACUUCUGGUGGAGUGAAGGGGACUUGCCAUUUUUAGACACAUUUGGAAAAGGCACAUUAUUGAAAGUGGAAGAAGCUUUUGUUAAUUCAAGUUUGACUUGUGCAUAUCAGAAUGGGGAUUCAGUGCUCCAGAUUCUUUCCAUGUUGUAUGAAUUCACAAGUUAAGGCAUCUGUUCCUGAAACUCCAGAUGCCGGUGGGUAAAAUCAUACCAUAACCAUAGUGGAUUGUGUUGUUCUGGUUGUGUGACAAGAAGUUCUGAUUUAUGAUGGAUGUUUAUUUGAUUUUUGUUCCAGAAAAUGAGGACACAAGUGAGGUCAGUAACUGGCCUAUGUUCUGUGAAUUUUCUCUAGAGCAACUUAAGAAUGCUACCUCUGGUUUUGCUGUUGAGAAUAUUGUAUCCGAACAUGGAGAGAAGGCACCAAAUGUUGUUUAUAAAGGGAAGCUGGAGAAUCAAAUGAGGAUUGCCGUUAAACGAUUCAACAGAAAUGCUUGGCCUGAUUCGCGGCAGUUUUUGGUAAGUCUUUCCCCAUGACUUCCUCCACAACUUAGUUUUCAAUUAUCAUGUUGAUGAUCUAAGACUGUAUCUAAAUAAGUUUUCUUUCAAAGGGUAGAUAAAUAACAUCUUUCAGCUUCAUCUUUUAUGUGAAGCUAAUGUCCAUCAAGUUGUGAUGGUAGACCUUCUUUUUGCCCUUUUGUUUUAACCUACUAAAAACAAGUUUUUGCAACAACUGUAGGAGGAAGCAAGAUCGGUUGGUCAGCUUCGGAACCAGAGACUAGCAAAUUUGCUUGGUUGUUGUUGUGAAGGAGAUGAAAGGUUGCUUGUGGCUGAAUAUAUGCCCAAUGAAACACUUGCAAAGCACCUUUUCCAUUGUAAGCAAUCCUUCCAUGCAUAUAUUUUCUCCUUGUCAUAUUUGAAAAUAUUAUUACUAUAUCUUGAAUAUAUGAUUUAUUUAUUUAGUUUAAGGUUUUGUUAGGAUUAGUGCCUAAGCCACCAUUUUACUAACCAUUUUCCAUUUGGAAUUUACAUGAUACCAAUGGGUGCAGUUUAUUUUUAGUUAUAAUGUUUAAAAGUUCUGUAAACAUCAAGAAUGAGUGGCUAGGAAUGUUCUUGAGCACACAUUAAAUGUGCUCCAAGAACGUGCGAGUAUUUUUGUUAUACAAUUCAAAUGACAUUAGAAAGGGCGCCAUGAAUAGAUUCGACUUAAGAGUGGUUCUAUUUCUUGUGUCUAAACCAGGGGAAACACAACCCAUGAAAUGGGCAAUGCGGCUAAGAGUUGUUCUACAUCUUGCACAAGCUCUAGAGUACUGUACAAGUAAAGGGCGAGCACUCUAUCACGACCUUAAUGCAUAUCGGGUUCUAUUUGAUGAGGUAAGCUUUAUGUGCCUUGCCUAUUUUAUAUGUGUCUAACAUAAUUAGAUUGAGAUAAAAAUGUUAGAAACUUUCAGGAUGGUAAUCCUAGGCUUUCGAGUUUCGGCCUCAUGAAAAAUAGUAGGGAUGGGAAAAGUUACAGCACAAAUUUGGCAUUUACCCCUCCGGAGUAUCUCAGAACCGGUACGAAUGUUGUUUAGUCUGGCCUAUUAAUGCUUCAAACUCAGCAUAGUUGAAAAUCUGUAUUGCAUUUUAAAUUUACAACCAGUUAUAUUUUGCAAGAUCUGAGUGAUGCAAUAUUUCAUAUAUCUCUUUGUUCCAUAGGGAGAGUAACACCGGAAAGUGUGAUUUAUAGCUUUGGCACUCUUUUGCUGGACCUUCUCAGUGGGAAACAUAUCCCCCCAAGUCAUGUAAGUUAUUCCUUCUGGCUGAAUUCCCUAACAAAGACAUAGCAUGUUUGUGUACUAUUAUUAAUACACAUACAUAUAUAAGUAUUGUAAAAUUUUGUGCAGGCCCUUGAUUUGAUUCGGGACAGAAAUCUUCAGAUGCUAACAGAUUCUUGUUUGGAAGGGCAAUUUUCUGAUGAUGAUGGGACUGAGUUGGUGCGGUUAGCGUCACGGUGUUUACAGUACGAACCUCGAGAACGGCCUAAUCCGAAAUCGUUAGUGGCUGCACUGGCUCCUCUUCAAAAGGAAACAGAGGUUUGUUUAUUAGUAUAUGUUCACAUAAAACAUGCUGAAAUGACAAACAUAUCACAACUCCUUACUAUUUUCUCAUAACAAAAUUUAGAUCUCAUCUUUUCUUUAUAGGUUCCUUCAGAUGUCUUGAUGGGAAUUCCACAUAGUGCUGCUACUUUUGCUUCAUUGUCUCCACUUGGUGAAGCAUGUGCAAGAAAGGACUUGACUGCCAUACAUGAAGUUCUGGAAAAACUUGGCUAUAAAGAUGAUGAAGGAGUGGCAAAUGAGGUUCUUUAUCUAUAUUAUGUUUUAAUUAAUUGCUAUAUUCCUUUUAAAAUUUUUUACAAGAUUUAUGUAAUAUACAUUUUAUAUGCACAAGUGGACAAGAUGCUUACUUUUGUGUUUGCUUUUCUCUUUUUGGAUACUGCAGUUAUCAUUCCAGAUGUGGACUGAUCAAAUGCAGGAGACAUUGAAUUGUAAGAAAAAGGGCGACGUUGCUUUCCGGCAGAAAGAUUUUAAACUAGCAAUUGAAUGCUACACGCAGGUAGUUUUUAUGCUCUCUUAAUGAUUUACAUGCACUUGUAUGUUAUACAGAUCACUACUUUUUACUGAAUUCGAAGGUAACUGGAUCCUAAUCCUUCAUAGUUAGCAUGAAAGUUUCAUGUUUGUGAAUAAUGCUUUAGAUUUCUAGCUAGAGCAUAGUUACCAUGGCUCUCUCUUAUUUGCAUGUGUACAUUUACUGAAUUCCCCAUUUCCUACACUGCUUAGCAAAUUCUCUAUAAAAUAUAGUUUAAUCACAAAAGGUACUGAAUUUAGUACUGAAACAAGUCGUAUAUCCCGCUUUCUGGUAACUAGAGUUUCACAUCAAUAUUUUGUUGAUAAAGGAAUAGUUUUGGUAGAAUUUCUGAAUCCAUUCUUUUUAACUGUUCAUACACAGUUCAUUGAUGCCGGAACGAUGGUUUCUCCUACAGUCUAUGCACGACGCAGUCUGUGUUAUCUUAUUAGCGACAUGUAUCAGGAAGCACUGAACGAUGCAGUGCAAACAAGAGUGAUUUCCCCUGUAUGGCACAUUGCAUUUUAUCUUGAAUCUGUUGCACUUGGAGGACUUGGAAUGGAGAAUGAAGCACAAGUAGCAAUUAAAGAAGCUACAACACUUGAAGCUAAGAGGAGUUCAAAUGCUAAACAAAAGUGAAUAAGGCUUUGUACAGAGACAAACCUUUCUUGCUGAUUUAUGUUCUGCAUGAUGAUGAUGACAACCACCACCCCCACAAGAUUAAUUAUUACAAAGAUUUCAUCUUUGAUUACACCAUAGAUCCACAACAACAAAGUUGAAUGUGUUUUUUUAAGACUACUACUUCAAGGAACAGUGAUUGGAUUGGAUGAGUGUUGGUUAUGACACACCCCUUCCCCCUUUUUUGUUGGGUUGGUUAGGAUGUUCAAUUUAGUUUAUGAUUUGAUUCAUUGAAGCAUGGCUCCUUACUUCUGGCAAAAUUUUUCAAAUUUUUUUUUUUCUAUUUUAUAAAAGGUUGAAAGUGUGAAAAGUGAAUAGCUUUGUUGAUCAUGGCCUUGUAUUUUCAUUAUUUUUUGUUGGAAUGCCAAGAUAUUGUGUUCAUUUGUUGGUGCCUUGAAGCUUGUGACAUCAAUGCUUUUGAUUGAAUGAAAAAAAAGAAAGGGUUGGAUGAGAAGUAAAAAAUGGGAAGAAAAAAACCUAUGAUAUUUGCAAGUUUCAUCAUACUUAAGGUAUCAUAAUGUUGGAUAUGCUGCUCAUUCAAUAAUGAUGAGAGCUAUUUGCUCACUUUACACAAUAUGAAGGUUGGUUCAUAACGAAAAUAUACACUUGUGAAUGCAUCAUUUUAUAUGACAGGCCACAGGAUCCAAAUAAAAGGGGAGGAAAGUUAACAAAAGAUAAACGAAACAUAUCAAUACAUAAUUAAAGUAAGAAAAUGGACGUUGGGAAGAGUAUAGCAAUGGAAAAACUGACAAUGAUGCUACUCUGUCAUUUAUGCCAUUGGUACUGAACUUGAGUGGGCACACUUCUCAUGUAAAAUGAGUAUAACAAACAUUUCUCGUCAUUCAACCAUUCUAUUAGACAACAUUAAUUCACAUAUGCAAAUGGCUAAAAAGAAAACCUUCACUCAUCAAGAUGAAUCAAAUGUUAUGAUCAUAGUAUGAAGAUGAGUUCAUGGAUUCUCCUUGCCGCUGUCCAAUUUCGCCAGGUUAUUUUCUUGAGACUCUCUCUUUGAUCCGAAAAUGUACUCCUUCACGGUACUCUGAGCUGAAAGUAUUUGCUUCUUAACCUGCCAUUAAGAAACCAUUCCAUCAGAAACAAGAGGGAAAUAAUCCUUAGGAAUUAGCAUUUCAACUAAAUCAUCUUCAACUUGACAAAAAGGCUUAAAACUAAAUAAAAUAAAACAGUAUUCUCAUUCAAAUAUAUUGAAAACAAGUUAUUCUGCUGUUAUAGAUGCAUCAAACGUUUUAUAUAGCCAUAUCUAUGGACUAUGAUAGUGAAUGUUGACUAGUGAAUUACUAAUAAGGAUAGGUUUGGUUGCGGAAUAAAAUUCAGGUGGACACUUUCAUGUAUCGAAUUCAUCCAUGAAAACUUCAUCCCAUUUUUACACCUCUACCAAACAAAUAAGUGUAGUAGAGAUGAGAUUGCUGAACUCUUUUGGGUAUGACCAGACAAGUAACAAGUAAGACUAAUAACAAAUAAAAUUGUGAGGCAGAAUCUAGUAUAGAGAAGAUGACAUAAACUUAAAUAAUAAGACUAACAGAUGCUCUUAAUAAAACUGUAAGUCAAACAUUUUCUGAAGCUUUUGGGUUUUGAUAACCCAGUGGCAGUAGAUUGAUGUAUUGACAUUCAGGCACUCCUGCCAGUGAAGCACAUAAGCAUCAAGGGCUCAAACUAUGCACUCUAUUAACAAGGUUUAUUCAGUGAUACUUGAGAAGGUGAACUCAAAUGAGGAAGUUAAUUUUCAGAGUACAACCAGAAUAGAGGUUCUAGAAACAGCAUUCUAACUAGAAAAGGCACAUACUUAUCUCUAUUGCAAGGCCAUAGUUUCUAAUAUACAAAGUUAGUUAUUAGUGCAACAUUUUACAGCUCAUCCACAAGCAAUUGCAUGUACUUGCAAAAAUGAAAGUAUUGAUAUUUGAUUAUUUGAAUAGUUUUUGAGAAGGGAACCAUGCACCAGUAGAAUAAUCAUGGUGGUCCAACCCCCAAUUCACCAGUAGAUUUUGAAUAAAGUUUCAAAUUGAAACCAGCAUUCAUCCAAUAGGUAUAACCAACACCAAAUUAGAUGACCUAACUUGACCUUUGUUUGAGACAAAAAAAAAAUUCCAAAUUGCAGCCAUGAAACUUGCAACUAAUAAGUAAUAGCCCAUAAACCAGAAAAUCAACUGAGAAGUAUGGGAAAAACUAGAACAUCUAUCCAAUAAUAAUAACAAUAAAGAAGAAAAGGGUAAAGAUUAAAGCUUUUGAAUCAGAGAAAGAGAGAGAUUACACACAGGGUCGAGAGCGUUAGGCUGAGGGCCAUAAUCAGCGGUCAAGAGGAAAUAGGAAGCGGUGACGGUUGCAACAAUGGUUACCCUUUUCACCAGCUUCUCCGUUUUUGGACUCAACAAACUCAUUUUUCUUCAAUUUGAUCAGAUCCAAUGCGAUUAUCUUCUUCGCUUCUCUCUAACUUCAAGCUUCAAGCUUCAAACUCUGUUCCAGGUUCGGCACUUGGGUUAUUCGUUAUUGUUUGUUUGUUGCCAUUACCACUAUCAAAGUAAAAACGAAGAAGAUAAUAUAUUUAUUUAAAUGAAAAAAUUCUAAAUAGCCCUCGACAAUUAUUUUAAAAGACAAUUAGGUUUUGGAAAAAAUAAAUAAAUAAAUAAAUAGGUCCUGACUUUUGUCCCGCAGGUAUUUUUGUCCUUGACUAUUAAAAAAUACUUUUAAGUUCUUCACUUUCACAAAAUUUAGACGGAUCAGUCCCUCCGUCCAAAUGCAUCCGUCAGGACUGAUCUGUCCAAAUGUCUCCGUCAGGAACUGAUCCGUCCAAGUUUUGUGGAGGUCAAAGACUUAAAAGUAUUUUUCAAUGGUCAAGAACGAAAAUAUCCGCAGAACAAAAGACCAGGAACCUAUUUAUCCUUUUCUCAAAAAAAAAUACUCAUUCCAAUUUCUAAACUUUAUUUUUAUCGUAUUGAUUAGGCUUUGUGCCAAAAAAAAUUUUUACACAUAGCUAAUCAAUCCCAAAAAAACAAAGAUCAAGAAUCAAAUUAAAUAUUUUUUUUGUCAAAAAUCUCAUUGUCCUUUCGAAAUCAUUGUAAAAAAUCGAAUCGAAUAUUCACUCUUUAUUUAAUAACUUUUUGUUUUAUGUACCUUCUGGAUUUAAGACUUUUUAAUGGAAUUAUUGAAUUUUAUUUACCGUUUAUUUAUAUUAUAGUUGCUUUGGUGACUUUAUUAUAUUACAAGAGAAAGUAUGUGUAAUUAAUUUUAGAGUUUAAUGUUUAUAAUUUAUAAUAAAAGAUUAAAAAUUUAUAGUUUAUGAUUUAAAAUUUAAAAUAAAUAAAAUAAUUUUAAAAGAGUUCUAUAGUAAAAUAUAUGUUUUUUUUGUUUAGAAUAUAUUUGUUAAAAUGUAUGCUUAGAAGUAAAAGUUGAAAUAUAAUUUAACAUAUAAAAUAAUUUUUUUUUCAAAAAAUUUAAGUAAAAUAAAUUAUCUUAAGAGNNNNNNNNNNNNNNNNNNNNNNNNNNNNNNNNNNNNNNNNNNNNNNNNNNNNNNNNNNNNNNNNNNNNNNNNNNNNNNNNNNNNNNNNNNNNNNNNNNNNNNNNNNNNNNNNNNNNNNNNNNNNNNNNNNNNNNNNNNNNNNNNNNNNNNNNNNNNNNNNNNNNNNNNNNNNNNNNNNNNNNNNNNNNNNNNNNNNNNNNNNNNNNNNNNNNNNNNNNNNNNNNNNNNNNNNNNNNNNNNNNNNNNNNNNNNNNNNNNNNNNNNNNNNNNNNNNNNNNNNNNNNNNNNNNNNNNNNNNNNNNNNNNNNNNNNNNNNNNNNNNNNNNNNNNNNNNNNNNNNNNNNNNNNNNNNNNNNNNNNNNNNNNNNNNNNNNNNNNNNNNNNNNNNNNNNNNNNNNNNNNNNNNNNNNNNNNNNNNNNNNNNNNNNNNNNNNNNNNNNNNNNNNNNNNNNNNNNNNNNNNNNNNNNNNNNNNNNNNNNNNNNNNNNNNNNNNNNNNNNNNNNNNNNNNNNNNNNNNNNNNNNNNNNNNNNNNNNNNNNNNNNNNNNNNNNNNNNNNNNNNNNNNNNNNNNNNNNNNNNNNNNNNNNNNNNNNNNNNNNNNNNNNNNNNNNNNNNNNNNNNNNNNNNNNNNNNNNNNNNNNNNNNNNNNNNNNNNNNNNNNNNNNNNNNNNNNNNNNNNNNNNNNNNNNNNNNNNNNNNNNNNNNNNNNNNNNNNNNNNNNNNNNNNNNNNNNNNNNNNNNNNNNNNNNNNNNNNNNNNNNNNNNNNNNNNNNNNNNNNNNNNNNNNNNNNNNNNNNNNNNNNNNNNNNNNNNNNNNNNNNNNNNNNNNNNNNNNNNNNNNNNNNNNNNNNNNNNNNNNNNNNNNNNNNNNNNNNNNNNNNNNNNNNNNNNNNNNNNNNNNNNNNNNNNNNNNNNNNNNNNNNNNNNNNNNNNNNNNNNNNNNNNNNNNNNNNNNNNNNNNNNNNNNNNNNNNNNNNNNNNNNNNNNNNNNNNNNNNNNNNNNNNNNNNNNNNNNNNNNNNNNNNNNNNNNNNNNNNNNNNNNNNNNNNNNNNNNGUAAAUGUUAAAAUAUAAUUUAACAUAUAAAAUAAUUUUUUUUUCAAAAAAUUUAAGUAAAAUAAAUUAUCUUAAGAGGAUGGGAUGGAGUCCAACUAAAUUGGUUUAUAAUUAUCACAUUGUUUGAGUAAUAUAUGGUUUUCAGUUUUUCACUUCAUCUUAUACGUCCCAACUUAGAAUUAGAUGGAAUAAAAUAGGAGGGAUUUGAUGGAAUGAAUGGAAAUAUGGAAUCUAUUUUAUGUAGACUACUUUACUAAUUUACUUCAUGAAAUUGGCAAGUUAUAUAAUAGAAGUCUAUUCAAUUAUUGAGAAGAGGACAAAUAAGUUCUUGACCUUUAAAGUCUGUAGAUAUUUAAAUUUUCAACGAUUUGAAAAUAUAUUAAAAUUUUUGACUUUCUCAAAAUUUAAAUACAUCGUUCUCUCUGUUCAUUUGGGACCAGCAGACCUAACAAAAAAAAAUCAAACAUGAUUUUCGUUAUACUGACCUGAUGAGAAAAUUUUUAAAAUAGAAUAAAUUAGACCUAAAAAUCGAUAUGUCUAAAUUUAAAAAAAAAAUUAAAAACUUAAAUGUAUUUUCAAAUCAUCAAAAAUAUAAAUAUCUACAUUUUAAAAAGUCAAAGACCUAUUUAUCAUUUCUCUAAAUUCUUUUGAUUUUUAAACUCUACUUACUUCCUAUAAUUUUAUACCACCAAGUCAACACAUGGAUACCCUAAAAAGAAAUUGAUUCCAUGUUAUUGAUUUCUUUCUAGUUAUUAAAUUAGUGUUUUGCUUUAAAAACAUAUUAGUGCACUAACAUAUCACUCACACUUAGAAUAUGUAUAUGUCUAGUGAAGAAAUCAAUCAUUUUGAGUAACACUAUAAUUAUCUAUGAAUAAAGACACUAAAAGUUUCUCUAGAAUUUGGUUUAUACUUUUCUAGAGAAAUGACAUGUGUGUUCCAUAGCAAUUAACAUUUAACAGCCUCUCAAACCAAACUACCCCCAUCCUCUCUCUAUUUCACACACACCUAACCACUGAAACUACUAACCAACAGUAACUACCUACUCUUCACUCUCACACCCUUCUUCAUCAAACAAAACCAAACUAUGCUGUGUCUUUGGAGACGAAAUACAGAAACACAUUCACACAAACCAUUGAGGCAUUAACACAAACACAACAUGCUCACAUAUUCAUAUUCAUAGUCCCACCCUUCAUCAAUCUUCUUCCUCCGCCAUUUCCAAUGAACCAAUACCACACAAACCCCACCACCACUACUACCAAAUUUUAUUCCCAAUUCACCCCAAAAUGCAACCACCUCAACCAUCACAACCCCAAACCUCUCUCCUUCAACCUCACCAUAUCUUCUUCUCUCAAAAACCAAUCACAAGACCCAUCAAAGGAUCCUCCUUUUUCACAAACCCUAACUUCAAUUUUCCUCUCGCUGCCGGACUGGGCCGACGCCGUCAAAGAGCGUGGCAUGCAGAGGAAGAGGGGACUCUACACCCACACCGAGUGGCUCCAGCACCGCUCCUCCCUCCGCCACCUCCGCCACCUCCUCUCGACCCUCUCCUCCCGUGUCGUCCUCUCUUUGCUCCCUCCAGUCCUCGCAUUCACAACCUUCGCCGCCGCUAUCGCCGCCUACAACUCCGCCGUCUCCGCACACUUCCUGCUCCCGGAGUAUUUCCCGGUUCUCAGGGCUUCUUCUCUGCCUUACCAGCUCACCGCACCCGCCCUGGCCCUCCUCCUCGUUUUCCGAACCGAGGCUUCAUACGCAAGGUUGCUACUCAGAUUUCAGAUAAUGGUGUGAAAGAAAAAAUUAUACUUUCCUGCUUCGUAGUAGAAUUGUUUACUCAAGUGAAAAUUACUUGAUUUAUGAUAUUGUAUCGUUGGAUUCUGUAGCUGAUUUCGUCAAUUGGGAUAAGUCUUUAGUUGUUGAAUUUCAAUUUUCGGAAAGCAAUGCUACUAUAACCGUAAAAAACAAGGGGAGAAAAAGGAGGAGAUUUCAGUGUUGCUGUGAAAAACACCAUGGUUGUUUUGGUUGUCAAAUGGAAUAGUCUAAGGGUUAACUUGCAUGAACAAAUUUGAUUUGAAUAAAUUGGGACAAAAAAGUUCUGGCUAAAGGAGGUUGUUCGAUGGAGUAAAAUGGAGGGAUAUGCUUGCCCCUUUGAGGUUUAACUUGAAUGGCACAUGGUGAUUUUGCCAAAUAAUUACAUGCACAAAUUAUUGUUGUAUAGUAUUCUUUUCAUUCUCUGAAUUGUGUGGUAUAUAUUAUAUACUCUUGUCAUUCAACACAAUCUACUAUAGCAGUGAUUGUGGAACAACUGAUGCAACUAACUGCAAGUUUAUGUGGGUUUCAUUCCUGAGUACAGAUUUGUGGAGGGGAAGAAGGCAUGGACCAAGGUCAUUGCUGGGGCACACGAUUUUGCUACGCAGGUUAUGGCUGUUGUUGAGAGUCCUUCGGAUUUGCCUCUCAAGAAGGCACUUUUGCAGUACAUCAUGGCAUUUCCUGUUGUGCUUAAGGUUGGAACCGUCUUUGUCUUAGUUGGGUUUUCAUCAAGUUUAGAUUACUCUUAAUUACUAUUGUGAUGGUGGUCUGUGAGGUUUGUUAGUUGUGUUGGUAAGAUUGGUGGUGAGUUGGUGGAGGUCAAAAUGGUUUUUUCAUUUGUUGAGCUUCAGUCAAGUUGGGAUGUUUGCCAUGGUAAUGUAAAGGAUAGUUUUUGAGGUUCUGUUGAAGGCAUGUAGGUUUGGGUUUUUAGAUGCUUGAGGUCAGAAUACUAGAAUAGCUCCAUAUUUUUAAUUCCCACUAAUUUUUGGCUUAUUAUUGAUCUAGUCAGGAAACUCACAUUGUGUAUGAUUUGAAUGCAGUGUCAUGUGUUGUAUGGUUCAGAUGUUAGGAGUGAUCUUCAGCAUGUGCUAGAAGUAGAUGAUCUAGCUAUAGUGAUUAAUUCGAAACAUAGACCUCGGUGCAUUGUUGACUUCAUAUCUCAAAGCAUUCAUCUGCUAAAGUUGGAGGAUGCCAGAAGAAGUGCAUUGGUAGGCAUUUAUCAGAAUUGUUGGCCUUUUUUAGUAAGUAGAUGUUGAAUGCAAAGAUAAAAUUGUAAAAAUUUUACUUCCAAUGUCAAAAAUUGAAGUAGUAAGUUAUGUGACUGCUUGGUAAUUAGGUGGCAAUAUUUCGGAUGUGUACCAUCCUCUCUGUUAGAGAGUUUAACCUUUCCUAUAUCAUGGUACAUGGCACACUAGCAAUCCCUUAUUUUGUAUGCCACUUGUCUUAUUGCCUUACAGGAAUCAAAGAUCUCUUGUUUCCAAGACGGGAUUGGCAUCUGUGAACAACUUAUGGGUAUUCCCAUUCCACUAUCAUAUACUCGCUUGACGUCAAGGUUUCUUGUCCUGUGGCAUUUAACGCUCCCUGUCAUACUUUGGGAUGAUUGUCAUUGGAUGGUGGUUCCUGCUACCUUCAUUAGUGCUGCUUCUUUGUUCUGCAUUGAAGAAGUAUUUUCCUUCCUUUACCUCGACUAGUUUAUAUUUCAAAAUGAUGUUGUUCUGCAAGUUUGUAUGGUUCAGAGAAAAUUGACCUCUAAGGCUAUUUCACAUUUGUUUAUUUUUUCUUGUCUCUGUAAUUCAUGAGGUGAAUUUAAGGGUGUGUUUUUUGUUUCAACUUAUUUUUCUAGAUUAAAUUUUGCAUGUAUAAAACCAGAAAUGUAGAGUCUUUAAUCUAAACCAAUUCUAGUUGAAUUUGCAUACAGCUGCCAAAGAAACAUUGCUGAAUCAAUUUUUCUUGAACUGCCCUAAAUCCAAACUUAAAAAGUGAUUGAUGGAUUGAUUCAUGAUUAAUGCAGGUUGGAGUUCUUAUAGAGGAGCCAUUUCCUAUGCUUGCACUUGAUGCUCUGUGCCAAAAGGCCCAUAACGACAUCCAAGAAUCAAUUGAAGCUGAAAACUUAAUCCACACUCAACUUGUUGCAAAGCAAAAGAAGGCAAAGAAGCACUCCCAGAGCGGCCACACGAAGGAGCAUUCACCAAAUGGCUGGCCUAAUUCCUAGUUUAAAGGGAAACUUUCCACGAAUCUCUCCAACUUUUGCUUAUGAGGUGCCUCUGUACACUACUUGGAAGCCAAAGCUGAUUGGUCACGAAUGCUUCAUGUUAUGUAAUUACUCACAUUAGUUAUGCAAUACUUACAAAAUUUUGAAAAUAGGGCAAAGUUGUGCUCUCUAAUGAUGUAUUCUACUUAUGAAGUGACUCUUCAACUCUGUAUAUAUCAUAAUCCAUGUACAUAUAACUUGGUUCUCAGUGUAUUUAUGGAAUAUUGAUUAUUUAUACAAACCAGUUACUUAUAGCCAUUUACUUUCUCUGGGCUUGUAUAUCAGCAAUUGUUGAAUCACUACAACUUGAUACGAUAGGAUCAUUUUUUCCAAGGUUGGUUCUGUUUGAUUUGUAAACCUUGAAAUACAGUACUCCCUGUAGUCUUAGUGUCUUACAAUUGUUUGCGGAAGUUACUAAAAUAAUCAUUAAAUGUGUUUUAAUAGUAUACAAGUAUUUUUUUGGGGGGUCUAUAUCAUAAAUUAAAGACCCGACUUUGUGAAAAAUAUCUCAAAGCAACCCUAUUCUGACAUGCCAAAGCAACCCUCUUCAUUGCACAGAAUUGUGUACAUGCAUUAAAAAAAUUGAAUAACAAAGAUGAAGGAUUAUUGACAGUGGUAUUAUUUCCAUGUAUCUUCACUAUCAUCAUUGUUCAUGAAAAAAACAUUGAAAUUACAUAAUUGGCUAUUUUACACUCCACAGAAAUAAUGUGAAAGUAAGCUCAAAUGAAGUACCUGAAUUAUUCACAUCAAAUCAUACAUAGCAAAUAAAUAGGGGAGAGUUCAUAGGCAUCCAAACCUUGAUCAAACUAGUUGAUUCAGAAUUCCCAAUUACUUAAAAUUUAAAAUGUCCUUCAAUUAUAACAUUUUGAUCUGAACACUUGGACUUUAAAUUUUCCACUUGGAUUCCUUGAUCUAACCUUUUUACCGGUAUUAGAGGAUCUGUCUCACUACUUUUAUUCCAAAUAGGCAAAAUUUCUAUCAUAAAUUUACUAAUGUUUUUCUUCUGAAUUCCCUCCUUAACAAGCUCUUCAAACUCACUGGAAUUUCCCCUCAAAUCUAACAGAACACUGCACAUCCCUUGUCGAUUACAAUAGUCCAGAAUCACAUCUAGAUUUAUAUGAUCCAAAAUGACGGUUUCAAUUCCUUUUUUGGCCAGUUCUAGAGCGCUUGCUGUUCCAUUAUCUGUAAAAACUAUCACUUUAUCAGUAACUUCAUUGACAGCAAGUGGAAUUUCAUUUGAAGAACUAGAAUCCUUAUGUAUUACAAUCCGGAGCGGCUGAUUUGCUCCAGGUUCUUGAGAUGCAGGUAUUGAUAUGUUCCCACUGAAUAAGGAAGAGGAAAGUAUCACUGCAUCAUAUUCUUGCAAUAAACGUGAAUAGUAUCCACCACAUUCUGUAACUCCAUCUCCAAGUAAGUCUGAAAAAUUCCCAUUGACAGAAAGAGAAUAUCUGCAAAUCAGAAAAGGCAAUGCUAUGAAAUAUAUAUCAUUAUAUGCUAAAACCAAAACUUCAAUGUGCACCAACAGAACAAAUGUGCCUGAAUAAGUGUGUUUGGAAACAUGUUUGGACAGGUUAGAAACAAUUCUGGAGGAUGGAAAAUCGAUUUUUGCAAUUUUUGCAAAAUCAACUAUGGCUUCCAGAAUUGAUUUUUGAAGGAAUCAAUUUUUUUUAGAUGGCUUUUAGAGAAACUACCAAAUAUAAAUCACUUUAUAUCAUAAUCUGUUUUGCAGAAUUAUUUCUAACUAGAUUCAACUCUAGAAAAGCAGAACCAAAACCAUUAAUGAUAAGCAAAAAGAGGAUUUAAAUUACCUCAAUGUAAGGAGAGGUUUUCCGGUUAACAUGCGAUGAACAAAGGCCUCGUUAAGGCUCUUGCAUAACUCUUCCUCUACACCGACAACAACUUCAAUACCUGCAUCUCUCAAUCUAGCCAACCCUUUGGAUUCCACAAGGGGAUUUGGAUCCACCAUCCCAACCACCACUUUUUUCACUUUGGCUUUGAUUAAAGCUUCAGUGCAAGGUGGAGUCCUUCCAAAAUGAUUACAAGGUUCUAAGCUCACAUAAGCCGUGGCAUUCUCCGCCAAAUCGCCAGCAUCUCUCAAGGCAAACACCUGAAAAUUCACAUCUACUUUCUCAGCAUAAUCAUCAUCAAAGGCAUUCUCUUUCUAUUUUCUAAACCUUGAUGAAGAGUUACAAAUUUACAAAUUCUCUUUCUAAUCAUAACUAUAUGAAAACUAUGGUCACAAAUACAAAUAUAUUCUUAUGUUCACAAGAAAAUCAUUUGAAUUCAAAUUAGGCUUCUUAAUCCUUAUACAUGUUAGAUUGAAAUACCAAUGCAAUAAAACAUAUAGAGAAUCUAACAUACAAUACAUUGUAAAAAGAUGCACAAAAAAAAAUUUACAAAUAAUAUAGUAAUAUUACAUUCAAACAAAUAAAAGGGAAAAUUUUGAGAAGGUUCAUACCUCAGCAUGCGGUUGACCUGCUUUAGGGUGGAACCCUUGACCAACAAUUUUCCCAUCCUUCACAAUAACACACCCCACCAUUGGAUUGGGGCUUGUGAAGCCAAUAGCUUUUCUUGCAAGCUCAACACACCUUCUUAUGUAAAACCCAUCAUCACAAUCGGCAACAUCACUUUCUCCAUUAAAGGGACCACAUUCUGCUACUACACCCACAUAACCAUCAUAGCUACUCAUCAAACCAGGUACGCUUUGAAAAAAAUUAGAUUUUUGAAGCAAAUGAUUGAGACCCACAUUGAAACUGAGCUUGGAGGAGUGAUGGGAUUGUUGAAAAGUUGCAAAAUUUGGAGGAGUUGCAUUGUUUGGGAAUCUGGACACAGGUAGGGUGCAGUGUGCGAGUGAAAAGAGUUGUUCUUGCAUUGUUGUGGUGACAGAAAGAUGCAGAAAGUGUAGGAUUAAAACUUAAAAGUAAAAACAAAUAAAUAAUAGAACAAAAACAAGAGGAAAAAAUAACAGAGAAUCUCAAUUCUCAACAGAGCAGAACCGGUAAAAAGAUUAAGGUUGUCUGAGCCCGGGUUCGAACCGGGGACCUCUAGUGUGUGAGACUAGCGUGAUAACCAACUACACCACCCAGACCAAUUUGUUUGAUUACUUGCAAAGAUUUUAUUUGACACAGUUGCAGUGGCAACAGACCAUGGAAAAUUUUCAAUUUUUCAUGAGCUAUUCUGCAAUUGUGUUUUAUCAACAGUGAAAGUAAUGUGAUGUCAGUUUGAAACAGUUUCAUUUGAGUUAAGGCAUAAGGUUGUCUGGUUGGAAGAUUUACUUCUGAUGGUAGAAAAUAGUUUAAUACAAUGAAGAAAAAAAGAAUGUGUGCAUAUUACACACUCUAUUCUAUUUGAGAGUUUAUGUAAGAGAAAUUUAGAGUAUUUUUGUUUGACUUUAAUACUUAUCUCGAAUUUGGGUAAACAACUUAAUUAAGUUAUUUUUAUAAAAAAUAGCUUAAACAAUAAAUGACUAUAUUAAAAGUAACUUAUAAAUAAAUUAUUUUAUAUUUGAAUUUUCAAUUUUAAAAGUGUUUGUUUUNNNNNNNNNNNNNNNNNNNNNNNNNNNNNNNNNNNNNNNNNNNNNNNNNNNNNNNNNNNNNNNNNNNNNNNNNNNNNNNNNNNNNNNNNNNNNNNNNNNNNNNNNNNNNNNNNNNNNNNNNNNNNNNUUGUUUUAUAAAUAAAAAAUAGUAGUAUUAUGAAAGAAGUCAUUUUUUUUAAUUUCUCUAUAAGUUUCUAAAUAAUUUCUUAGAAAAUUACAAUUUAAUUUUAAAAAUUACACUAAACAUUAAUACUAAUACUUUUCAUAAGUCAAAAGCUCAAAAAAAUUACUUUUAAAAUUUUUCAAAGUGACUCUUAAUGUAUUUAUAUGCAAGCUACACCCAAUUAUAGAUUGUUAUUAUUUAUUUAACAAAAGAAAAUCAGCAAAAAAUUUUCGUUUAUUUAUUUAUAGUUUCUUUCUCUGCUUAAAAAAAAAGUAAGAAACUUCCAAUUAUCCAAUUUAUAACAAAAAAAAAAAAUGGUGGUUGAAGAAAGUAAGAAACUAUAAAUGUCUCUCGGAAUUGCUUGCGUGGAAAUUGUUGUCGUGUUUUUGUUAUGCACUUUUCUGAGACGAAUCCCUAGCUCCCUUCCGGUGAGUUCAUCUUCACACCUACCAUUCUUCUCUCCCCGCAGUUUCGUUCUUAUUUUUUCAAUUUUUAAUAUUUAGCUCGUAUGGUACUCGAUUUACAUCUCACAAAUUAUUCUGCAUUUAUUUGCAAGUUAGAAACUUUUCUGUAAUAACCAACGAAAAUUCUCGAAGCUAACUUUUUUAUUUAAGAUCUAGAAUUGCAAUGCACAGGGUAUCUAAUUAAUUCAUGGUCUAUGCAAACUGCAAAUGCAUGAAUUUUUCUUAGCUGUGCUUGUGUUGCUUCUGAUUUUGUUUUUUAUUUUGAUUUUUCCCCUUUUGACCCUUUUUGCUAAUAAAGCUGACUUCUUUUUGCGGGGGACAAUGUUUUGAUGCUCAAGGGGAGCACCAUUGUAAUGAGUAUAAGAUUUAGGGUAGGAUUAUUGGGGAAUUUGGGGGAGAAUUAUACAAAUUGAAAGAAGAUUAACCAGGAGAAGAGAGUUCAACUAUCCUCUAAUUCACUUCCUAGUUCCUAUUAUCCUAUUUAUACUAAUUCCUUCAGUAACUAAUUCCAUUGCUAUAAAUUGUACUACUUUGGGCUAUUUAGGGCCAUAGUUGUUACAUAGGAAUUAGAUUUUGAAACGCUGAAAAAGAUUAAGCAUGUGAUUGUACUUUGAUGGCUUACCCUUUUCCUUAACCAUGCCUAAGUUUACACAUGGUAUAUACAUAUAGUCUGGCAAUUUGUUGUUCUCUUAUCCUACUUAUAUUGGAUGAUAAUAUUUUGCUUGAAGUUAAAGUGUAUUGUGAUAUACCUUUGAUAAAAGAAGUUUGUGUCUCCGGUAUUGGCUGCAUCGUUGUCCAUUUUAACUAUGAUUUAUGAUGCCUGUGAAAUGGGGGAUUAGCUAUUCAUCUUGAAUGUGAUUAGGAAAUAUCAGCUUUCGCCAACCUUUUUAAGUCUCAUACAUUUACAUUCUGUGGUGGAUAGUGACAACAUGGUGGGGAUACACAUAAUAUAGGAUCACAUGGUACAAAAUAUCUUUCUUUCUCUUUUUACUCAACUUUUUUAAGCAUAUGAUUUUAUUCUUCAAUGUGUUAUGUAGUGCAGUUGGCUUUCAGGUAGUUCAUCUUGCUAGCUGUUUCUUUAGGGUUAUAUUGAGCUGUUUGCGUGACUGUGUGAGGUCAAAGGCCUAAUAAUAUGAUUGUGACCUGUCCUUAUUGUGAAUGUCAAUCCUUUAAAAUGUAUGAACCUGGUUGCUCUUGAAUAUGUAUUUGAAUGUGUCUUCAGGACUUCACCCUUGACUUAAGCUUCAGUUCAGAAUCAUAUUGAAAAGAUUUUUGUUGUAUUUGGUAAUAUACCCUCAAAUUAGUAGAAGUUGAAGAGAAACCGAGCAUAUGAACUUAAGAUUUGAGUCGUGGCUUUAUUAACAUUUUUCCUUUCUUUUCAGGUCCUCUGCAUUAAUUCCAGUGGAGCAUAUGGAUGAUAGUAAAGAAUCAUUAACUGAUGCCAAUGAAGCAGAAGCCACUACUUCAACGCUCAUUGCUGGUCUUCCAGAUGACAUAUCUCUUUGCUGCUUGGCACGAAUUCCUAGAAAACAUCAUUCGGUCCUGAAGUGUGUCUCAAAGAGAUGGAGGGACUUAGUUUGCAGUGAAGAGUGGUAUCAAUAUCGCCGAAAGCACAAACUUGAUGAGACCUGGAUCUAUGCUUUGUGCAGGGGCGAAUUAGAAGAUCGGAUUUGCUGCUAUGUUUUGGAUCCAAACUCAUCAAGAAGAUCUUGGAAGCUUAUUCCGGGACUUCCGCCUCGCAUGUUGAAGAGAAAAGGCAUGGGAUUUGAAGCUUUAGGAAAUAAACUAUUCUUAUUUGGAGGUUGUGGGUGGUCUGAAGAUGCUACUGAUGAGGCCUAUUCUUAUGAUGCUUCCACAAACACUUGGGUUGAAGCUGCUUCCUUGUCAACUGCUAGGUAUAAAUCCUGAUCAUGUAUUCAUGUCUAUCCUUUUUUGAAAGCUAAAAAAGUCGAUAUUUUACAAAAUAAGAUAAUCAGCAUUGGUAGCAUGAACCGUCUAUUUAGCUUUUUGUAGUAUAUAUUAGGGAGAAUAUCAUAAUUACUUUAGUUUUGGGGAAUUUUCAAUACCAAAAACACAAUAACAAAACCACAAUAUUGGUAUCGUAUAUAUGUUGAAAGUAAGAACUUAAUAUGUUUGUAAGUUACAAAUUUGAAAUUUACAUUUUGUCUUUAUCCAUCUUACUUUUAACCCCACCUACCAUGGAAAAAUAAAUCACUUUGUUAUUUUACCUAAAAAAAAAAACUUUUUCAGGUGCUACUUUGCUUCUGAAGUUUUAGGUGAGAAGUUAUAUGCCAUUGGAGGAAUAGGUUCAAAUUCAAGUGAUCCUCAUUCUUGGGAUACUUUUGACCCUUGCACAAAUACUUGGAUAUCUCAUAGAGAUCCCAAUAUUGUUCCCGAAAUAGAAGAUUCUGUAGUGAUGGAUGGGAAGAUAUACAUCCGGUGCGGCAAAUCUCCGGUAACUCACCGCGUGUAUGGCGUUGUAUAUGAUCCGUCGAAUGGCACAUGGCAGCAUGCCGAUACUGAGCUGGUAUCAGGAUGGAGCGGUCCUGCAGUUGUUGUUGAUGGAGUCCUUUAUGUUUUGGAUGAGAGUUCGGGAACGCGAUUAAUGAUGUGGCAUAAGGAGAGGCAGGAAUGGUUGCCCGUUGGAAGAUUUUCGCCGCUGCUUACAAGGCCUCCAUGCCGGGUUGUUGCAGUUGGUAAGACCAUUUUCGUUGUUGGCAGAGGACUUAGCACUGUGGUUAUUGAUGUUGGUGAUUUGGGAAAUAUUGGAAAGAGAGUUAUGAUUGGUUCUUCCAUUCCCAAAUUAAUGUCUGCUUCCAAUGUAAUUAGCUGUAAAUGCUUGGCAAUAUGAAGAAAGAAUGAAAUUCUUUUCAGCAGUUAAUCAUUGUUAGUGAAGUUAAAGUAAAGCACAUGUAUUAAUGGUGCAUAAUUCUGAAUGUAUGUGUUUGUAUUCAAGUGUGUUACUUUGUUGAACAACAUUGCAUAUUGUAACAAAAAAGAUGUAUGUAUUAUAGAGUAUGCUUUUAUCUACUUCAUUAAAAAUGUAUAAAAUCUUUUUUUUUUUUUUUUUUCCUUUUAGAAAUNNNNNNNNNNNNNAAUCUCUCAUGUUAAAAAAUAACUUUCUGUUGUAAAAAAUUUAAACAAACGAGCCAAUUGUAACUGGUACACUUUCUAUUCAAGAACCAAGAAUAAAUGUUUACAUCAACAUAACAAGGAAGAAAAACCAAAGUUAAUCAGUGCAAUUAUUAUUAUUAUUUUUUUAACCAACACAAGAUGGGGGAAUCUGUUGGCCAUAACAAGCACCAUUGACAAAAGAAGACAAAGACUUGAGUUGUCCUUUGCCACCAUAAGGCCACAAAUUUAUGUCCACCCUUGUUAUGUUCUGGCAUGGCUUCCUUUUGCUGCAAUUCAAUUCUACUCCAAUCUCAGAACUUCCACUUCCUUUAAUGUUCUUGUAUGUCACAUCACUGAUUUGAACACUUGAAGCCACCUUAAAAAGACAAAAAUAAAAUCUUAGGCUCAGUUUUAGCAACAAUAUGAUGAUAAUUUUUCAAUGUAAACAAAAACAAAAAAGAAAAGAUGUUAAGAGGUACUAACCUGAUUGCUACAACCAUGACUUGGACAAUAAGCUUGAUCAAUGAUAAUAGGACUAAAAACUUUAUCCAUGAAAAUGUCUUGAAAGAGAAAAUUAGAAGCCCUAAGAGGUUUACUCAAAGAAGCAGCCCAAGUUUUGAUUCUAAGGCCAUUACUAGUACCAUUAAAUGUGCAAUUCUUCACAACAAUGUUUUGAACAUCUUUUUCUCCAUCAUUUUUUCCAAGGCUUCCAACACUAAUUCCAUGGCCAGGGCCACAAUGAACACCAAAGAUGGUAAUGUUCUUAGCACCAGAAAUCAUAGCAAUGCAAUCAUCACCAGUGGCUAUAGUAGCACUUGUGAUGUUUAUAUUAUUGGAUUCACCAAUUUUGAUGCCAUCAGUGUUAGGGCUAUCCCCAGGUGCUGAUAUCUUUAGCCUUUCCAAUUUCACAUUUUCACUUCCAAAUAUCAUAAAGUGUCCACCUUUAGGGUUAAUUGAUUUCAAGUCAUGGAUUUUACCAUUGUUGAUGAAGUCAAACCUCACUGUCUGAUCCACAAAAGUGAAAAGAGAAGUACAAUGUCAUUAUCAUUAUAAAAUAUAACAUUUUGCUAACAACAAUUUCAUAAACCGGUUUGAAAAAGAUCAAUUAGAAAAAAUAAACUUUUUCACUUAUCAAGAUAUUGAAGGCAUCAGAUAAAUAAAAUCAUUUUUAUUGAGAAAUUCUUGGAGGCUAUCCGUUAGUAAUUUUGGCCAUUAUUUAACAAGUAUAAAUACUAAAUUAUUUUCAACAAAUAUAUUUACUAAUUUAUACGUGCAAAUUCUGAUAAAUAUAAGUAUAAAUUAUAUAUUUUUUAUGUAUUUUCCUGUAAAUAUAGACAUAAAUUAUUGCUGAUCAAAUAUUGAUCCAAAUUAAAAUAAUAAUAUUUAUUGUUUAUAUAACAUUGUUCAUUUUUAUAUUUAUCUCUUUAAUCUUAAGUCGUCACUGUGAUUUUAAGAAACCCUAAUAUAUACACAGACACAAAAUCAUGAUCAAAUACCAUUUUAACAAAUUUAAAUUAAAUCAAAGAUGAAUUUUCUGUAUCAUAUAUGAACAUAAUACUAAACACUACUUAUUGGGUGGGAAAGAGAAUUUUCUCUUUUAAGCAAAAAAAGAUAUGAUUGUUUCCAUCCAAAAAUGUCAUAAAAUAUUAAAUGAGAAGAAUUCACUUUUUUUUUUUCUGUUCCACAAAUUAUUCCUUAGUGAACAGUAAUUACUAAUUAAUUAAUGUAUUAUGUGUUCAACAAAUUAAAGCCGGAAACUAUAAUUGUCAUAAACUCACAUUAAAAGCCAAAUCAAAAGAAUGAUGAAUACUUAUGAUGUUUUCCUAUCUAAGCAAGAUAUAUGAAUGAAUCAAAUUAAACUUAGUAAAUACAUUGAAAGGUGACAGAAAUAAAAUAUUAAGAAUAAUAAUAAUAAUAAUUAAAAAAAAAGUUAUAUACAUACUAUAGGAAGAGUUGGGCAAUGUGGAUCCUUGUUGCAAUUAUGGUGAGGCCAUGAAGAAGCUCCUUGACCAUCCAAUGUGCCACCACCACUCAAUGUGAGUUUGUUAACAUACAAAAAACCUAUCCAUUUAUCAGUGUUGAAUAAAGAUGGAUAUGGUGGUGCCUUCAAAAUCCCUUUGAUCACAAAACCCAUCCUCAAAGCCUUGCAUGGCCCUUUGAACACAAUUGAAUUCAGCAUAUAUGUUCCUUUUGGAAUAAAAACUUGUGCCUUUCCAUUCCAAUUGCAUGCAUCAUUCCAUGCUUUCAAAAAUGCCUACAUAUGUAUAUAAAUAAAUAGAUAUUAGAACAAAUAUAGUUGAAAAUAAUAGAAUAACAUUUUUAUACUUUUUCAAUAUAUAAGAGGUGGCAUAUAAUAGUCAUAUUUUAGUUUUUUUUUUAAUUUUUUUAAAAGAGAUUGAUUUUUGAAUAAACAGGAUAAUGACUGUAGUGAAAACUCAGGUACAGUCAACUUUACGUUAAGUUAUGAAAAUUUAGUCAAAUCAUUCAAAACAUUCAACGGCUCUCAACUAUUAAUUUCACUGUGAAGUUUACUACACAAUUGAUUUUUGUGCCAAAGAUAUGAUCAUUUCUCUAAAAAUUAUACAACCUAAACAAAAUAAAAUAAGACUAAUAUGUGUAUACCCAAAAACCAAUUUUUUUUUUUAACUUUAGAAUAUUGGAAUAAAGGAGAUAAUAUAUAAGAGAUCAAGAACAAAUAAAAUAAAAGCUAAGGGAGGAAGAAGUGAACAAAUGGUUUCUUAAUUACCACACUAUUAUCAGUGUUGCCAUUAGCAACUGCUCCAUAGCUUUUAACAUUGAAAAUCUUGCUUUCGAGACGUGCUUCUGCAAUAAAAAUAAGUGAGAAUAAUAUGAGAAGCAUCCAUCUUAUCAUAUCCUCCAUUUUUUUGGGGGUGUGUGUGUGAAUAGUUAGAGUUUGCAUAUAUAUAAUUAAUUGAGGAUUUGAUUCUUUUAAUGCUAAUUAAGGGAAUAGUUUUAGAAAAAGUCGGAACCAAAUACAAUAUAAGUCAACUCAAGUCAACUAUUUGUAUUUUUUAUUUUAAAAUUUUAAAAAAUUAGGAUAGUUUGAAUUUGUUUUUUCUUUUUUAUUAACAAAACAUAUUUAUUUUUUUUCUUUUAUGGUAGUUACCUUCAAAUUAUUUAAUAAUCAUGCAAUAUGAUUAAUAUGUUAUAUACGAUAUUAUCUUUGUUUUUAUUAUUACUGUUGACUACUUUAGCUUAUCUUUUUCUUUUUUCAUAAUAUUUUCGUAUUCAAAAUUUUAUCAAUUAUACCGUACUAAAGAAAUUUAAACGAGUAAAAUAAAAUAAAAUAAAAAUUCAUCUCUCUUUCUCUUAGAUUCAAAGAAUAAUAUACUGAUUUUAUUCAUAAGUUUGCAUGCCUUCCCUUCAAAUAUAUCCAUGAGUGAUUCAAAUAAGUUUUAAUUUCACAAUAUAUAUUCAUUAUAUUGACUUUGUGGUCAAUGAGUGAUUCAAAUUCAAGUAAUUGAGGAUACAGUAUAUAAUAAUAAAUAAAUAUUACUGAUAAUUACAUAAAAACAAGUGUCAAGAGAUAAAAUGUUAAAAAUUUUAUGGUUAAUUGAUUUCAAACCUUGGAUUUUACCAUUGCUGAUGAAGUCAAACCUCACUAUCUGAUCAAAAGUAUCCACAAAAGAUCAAAUUAGAAAAAUAAACUUUUUUCAGUUAUCAAGAGAUUGAAGGCAUCGGAUAAAUAAAAUAAUUUUUAUUGAUAAACUUUUGGAAUUAGCAGUGGUUAAUAAUUUUGUUCAUCAUUUGAUAAGUAUAAAUAUUAAAUUAUUUUUAAUAAAUUUAUUUAUUAACUUAUAUAUAUGAAUUUUAAAAAAUACAAAUAUAAAUUAUUGUUGGUUUAAAAUGAUAAUAUUUAUUAAUUAUAUAAUAUUAUUCAUUUUUAUUGUUGUCUCCUUAACCUUAAGUCCUAACCGUGAUUUUAAGAAACUCUAAUAUAUAUACACGCACAAAAUCAUGUCUCCUUAUCCCGAUCCAAAUCUGCCUUUCUAUUCAUCAUCAAAUCUCACUUCAUCUCUGACGUACUCAAGGAGAAUGAGAGAAGGAGAGAGCGGGGGCGAGCGGUUGAGGGUGAAACACGGUGAGGAAGAUGGCCAUGCCAUAUGGCUACACGGCUCUCAUGCAUAAGUUUCGGAUAGUAUGGCGCAUCAAAGGAGGGUUUGAUUUGUUGGAUGUGGGGUUUGGAUAUUUUUUGGUUAAAUUUGAUAUUGCUGCGGAUCGUGAGAAAGUCAUUCUUGGUGGCCCGUGGUUGAUAGAUGGUCACUAUGUUGCAGUAAAGUCAUGGGAUGUGGAUUUUAGGCCAUGCAAAAAAUUCUUUGGAUCAACGCUGGUAUGGAUUCGAGUCUCGGGACUUCCAAUUUGGUGCUACCAGGAACAAGCAAUGCUGCGAAUUGCUUCUGCAAUAGGAAUUCCGGUGAAAGUAGAUUUGGCUACUAAGCUUGCAGAAAGAGGAAAAUAUGUCCGAGCUUGUGUUCAAAUUAAUCUUGAGUUGCCUGUAAUCAAACAUAUUAUAGUGGAGGGUGUGACUUAUGAAGUGGAGUACGAGAGUUUACAGUUGAUUUGUGCUACUUGUGCACGGUAUGGGCAUGAUAAAUUGUUGUGCAUGGAGAAGGAGUCCUUGGAAGGAAACGAAAAUUCCUUUGGUGAUGGAAAAAAUAAUGAAGCCCCGACAUUAGUGCCACACAACAAUCAUGAGAUUCAACAAGAGGCUAAAUCAGAAGCUCGUGAUUUGGGUGAGAAAUUAGGAGUUGUUAAAGGGAAGGAUGUAGUUACGGAAUCAUUGGCUCCUCACGUGCCUGAUAGUCAUGUUAAUGAGGCAUGCAUAGAUGAUGGAGAGGGCUGGCAACAAGUGCUGCGUAAGGGAAAAUUCACAAUGGGCCAGUCAUCAGGUUUGAAGGACCAAGAUGGAAAGCAGCACAAGUUUGGUUCGAGAAGGGUUCCAAGGCCCAAUUUGCAUGGUGAUGGAGGCAAAUCAAUUGGCAUUAGGAUGGGGAAGCGAGAAAAACAUGAAAUUGCGCCAUCUCCAUCGCGCAGAACUCCUGCACGUCGUGGAAUUUCUCUACGGAAGCGUCCUCGGCCUUCCUCCUUGCAGAACUCGCCAGUUGAUAAAAAUGGUGGCACAACGGAGGAAACCUUAGUAGAUGGAAGCAUGGCAGGUGCAAUGUCAGGAGGUCCAAAGGUGGCAAUUAUUGAGGAUCAGAGUAUGCCAAUACCGCAGGACAAAUCACCUAUUGAGGUUGGUGAUUCUGUUUAGAGUUUAUGUUCUUAUUUAUUCUGUCCCUAUUAUUUAUGGAUAGUUUAAAUAUGAUUGUUUGGAAUAUUAGGGGUGCUUCUAAUAAGUUAGCCCGGGUGCAUUGUAAGGAACUUGUUAGGAAAUUUAGACCUGUUUUCUUUAUUGUGGUUGAAACUCACUCCCCUUUUCAGCAUUUAAAAUUAUUUUGGGAAAGGUUGGGAUAUCACUCUGUUGGUAUAGUAGAAGCAGAAGGGCAUAAGGGAGGUAUUUGGUUUUUAUCCUCUAUGAAGGGUGUUUGUUGUAAGUUCAUUGAUGCUUUUGAUCAUGGUGUUACUGUUGAGGUUCACUUUGAUAAUUUAAUUUGGAGGUGUAGUGGUAUUUAUGGCAGUCCUCAAUUUAAUAAAAGGGUUCUCCUUUGGGAUUAUCUUGUUGCACAAUCCAUGGUUUUUCAAGGACCUUGGAUUGUUCUUGGUGAUUUUAAUGAAGUCAAAUUUUCUCAUGAAUCUAAGGGCUGUCAAUUUUCUCAUCAAAGAGCCGACAUGUUUGCUACUUCAUUAGGGGAUAGUGGUUUAUUUGAUUUGAAGACUAUUGGGAGGCGGUUUUCUUGGUACAGGAGGGUGAAAAAUUAUGUUGACGUGGCAAAAAAGCUUGAUCGAGUCUGUAUAAAUAGUAGUUGGUUAUCUAGCUUUCCAGAGGCUUAUGCAGAAGUUUUAAAUAGGCUUCAGUCUGAUCAUUGCCCUAUUCUGGUGCGUUGUAAAGGUCGUCCUCAGCCUAAAGGGAAUCGACCUUUCCGAUUUGUUGCUGCUUGGGCUACUCAUCCUGGGUAUAGGGAUAUUGUGAACCAAUCAUGGUGGUCUGGUAAUAGAGGAAUUCAUGGCAAGCUUUCGGAAGUACAGAAGAAUUUACUAGAGUUUAACUCGAAGGUAUUUGGUAACAUUUUUGUUAAGAAAUGUGAAUUAGAGCAGCAGAUUAAUUAUUUACAAAAGCGUUUGGAAGUGGUGGAUAGUAUUUAUUUGCGUCAGAAAGAGCAACAGUUGCUUGAUGAUUAUAAUAAUACUCUAUUGCAAGAAGAGCUCCUAUGGUUCCAAAAGUCCAGAGAGCAGUGGGUAAGGUUCGGGGAUAGGAAUACAAGAUUUUUUCAUAUUCAAACUCUUGCGCGAAGGAAGCAUAAUAAAGGAUGAAGAUUAAUGUCGAGAAGUCUAAAGCGCUUUGCUCCAAGAAUGUCUCUGCAACAAGGAAAGAGGUUUUCACUGGGGUAUCCUCUAUCAGAUUUGUCCAGGACUUGGGCAAGUAUCUUGGAGUUACCCUUAGCCAUUCUAGGGUGACUCGUUCAGCUUUCAAUGGUGUCCUGGAUAAGAUUCGGAGUAAGCUAGCAGACUGGAAAGGAAGUUUACUCAAUCGGGCUGGUAGGCUCUGCUUGGUUAAUUCUGUUGCUGCUGCUAUUCCCACGUACCAGAUGCAGGUCUCUAUUUUUCCCAAAGGAAUCAUUAGUAAAUUGGAGUCUAUGAUGAGGAAUUUUCUUUGGAAAGGACAAGUUGAUGGAAGAGGAUUGAAUCUUGUUAGUUGGAAGGUACUGGUUACUCUAAAAAAAUAUGGAGGUUUGGGGAUUAGAGAUCCUUAUUGUGUAAAUAUUGCUCUUCUUGGAAAGCUAGUUUGGACUUUUUUCCAGCAGGCAAACAAGCUAUGGGUCCAAUUGUUGGAUGCCAAAUAUCGAUCAUCUCUAUAUGACUAUUUUAGUUAUCCUAAGAACAAGGACUCUCCCAUUUGGAGGUGUCUUUGCAAGGCUUGGGAAGUGUUGAAGGAUGAGUUUGCUUGGUGUAUUGGAGAUUUGAACCAGAAUUUUUGGUUUUCUAGCUGGAGGAGAGAAGGACGGUUAUCUAAUGAGAUGGAUUAUGUUCAUAUUUCUGAUUCGAAUCUCCGGAUACAGGAUAUUUGGUCGGUUGGUAGGUGGCAUUUGGAUACUCUUUAUUCUCCUUUAUCUCAAAAUCUGAAAGAUAAUAUUCUCUCUUACAAUCCAGAUGAACAAGCAGGUCCGAAAGUGGGUUGGUAUUGGAGUGGGUCUGCUGCCAAAGUCUAUGACUCACGCAAUGAUUACUUGUGGUUGUGUAAGCAGCUGUUUGGUUGGGAGGAGCGGGAGAAUUGGCUUUGGCUUUGGCGUCAGCUUGUUCCGGAAAAGCAUAAGUUUUUGGCUUGGUUGUGUCUUAAGGAGGCUCUUCCUACUGCAAGUUUUCGCUUUAGAAGAGGGAUGUCGUCACCGGAUAGGUGUCCAAGAUGUCUUUCUAGCCAGGAAUCGGUUUUACAUUGUAUUCGGGAUUGUCCAAAAGCUCAGCUUGUCUGGCAUAGGUUGGAUAUUUCUUGUCAUCCUUUGGAUUUGAAGAACUGGUUCUUGUAUCAUAGCAGAGAGCAUCCGUUCAAGUUCUUUUCGGGACUUUGGUGGAUAUGGCGAGCAAGGAAUAAUGACAUCUUUAAUCCCCAUGAAACUUGGCCUUAGCUUGGGAUGUGGGUCAACGAGACAUUAUUUGUGAGACGGAUUGUGUGGAAGCAUUUAAUCUUGUUACUCAAGAUGCUUUUGGGUUUAUUGAUCCACUGGUGCUCAAAAUAAGAGAUAUCAUGCAUUAGAAUUGGCGGGUUGACUUUCGUUUGAUUAUGAGAGAUGCAAAUACGGUGGCAGAUACUAUGGCAAAGAUGGCGAUGAAGUUACAACUUUCGCAUGUGGAGCUACUUUCACCUUGGGAGGAGUUUAAGAGUAGUCUUGAACGAGACUGUCCCUCUAUUUAGGCAGUUCCUUGUUUUAUUUGUUUUGUUUUUCUUUGUUUAAUUUAUUUCAGUUACAAAAAAAAAUACCAUUUUUGACAAAUUUAAAUUAAAUUAAAGAUGAAUUUUCUGUAUCAUAUAUAUGAAUAUAGAUUUUAGGUGAUUGCUACGGUACCAUAAUAAAUUCAUACGUACCGAUACUUUUAAAAUAUGAACAAAUAACAAUAAAACAUGUGGAAUUUAUUUUCCAUGUCAGCAUUUAAUUUUUUCUUUUUUAAAUAUAUAGUAUAUCACAACUUUUACUAAAAUACCCUUUUAAUUAAAUAAAAAUAAAAAAUAUUUAUUUAUUUAAUUUUAUAAAAAAAUUUAAACAUUCUUUCUUUAUUUGAUUAGACAAAAAUACCCUUUUAAAUUAAUCAAAUUUUAGAAUUCAAUUAAUCCUAAUUUUAUAAUUUCAAAUAAUUGAAACAACAAAAAAAAAAACAUAUUAAAAAAACAAAAAAUUAAAAAUUGUUCUUCGUCUUCUCCAAUUCUUUUGAGUCUUGAUCAUUCUUGCUCCUCUAAAGAAAAGCAGUUAAAGACCCAAACUAAAUCGACAAAAUCUUAGCCCUAGGUUUUUUGUAGCCGCUGUCUCCAGGUUCUCAGCGCUUCCGCUUCUUCCUCUUCCCCUGUCCGGAACCCAGGUAGCUCGGCACGUCGUCCCCAUCCUCGCUGGCUUCUCUGUUCGUGGCUUGGAGCAGUUCGCCGUCGGAUCACCGCUUGCCGUCGUCUCUACUCUCGCCGUCGUCUCUACUCUCGCCGUCGGAUCACCGCUUGCCGUCGUGGCAAACCUACGUCGAUGACCACCUUCUCUGCGAAAUUGAAGGCAACCACCUCUCCUCCGCCGCAAUCGUCGGCCAAGACGGCAGUGUUUGGGCUCAGAGCUCUAAUUUCCCUCAGGUUAUCUUUAAUACUUCUCAAUUUCUCUCUCCAAAACUCUCCUUCUUUCUUAGUGCUUUGUUUUCCAGAUUCAUCUGUUCUUUUUUUUUUCCCGUUAAUUUUCCUCCGAUUUAUCAGAUUUGAUUUGCAUGUGACAUACUAACAUAUCCUAUGGUUUUGGUGUUAAUUUGAUACAUUCGCGCUUUAACCAUAGCUGUUUAGUUUUAUCAACUGGAGCUAAUUGAUUAAUUUUUCAGAUUCUUAAUGUUUCACUUGUUAAGUGCAAUUUAUGCUAUAAAUUAAAGCUUGGAGAGAGUCAUUAGGAAUGACUUGGAGUUUGGACUGUGUGAUUAUCUGAUAUGAGAUGCAUUCCUUUUUAUUAGUAUGUAACAGUACCAAAAUAUUCAUGGCUUGAUGCGCACAAGUUUUCUUUAACCUCAAGAACCAGAUGAACUUUUUAUUAAACAGGGUUCAAAUAAAAUGUUCCCCUUAGGCCUUAACAACAUAAUUUAUUUUUUAAUUCCCUUGUAUUUCUUGUGCGUCUUACGAUCCAAUAAUUUCCUUUGUUGAGUUUACGAAAAUAUACAACAUAAAAGUUCACAAGGGACAAUCCACAUAGUACAUUCUUUUAGAGACAAACAAUCCCGAACAUGAUACUACUCAUCACCAUAAAAGAGGGUAAGAAAUCUUUGAAUAUGUAGUGAUACAAGUAUAUGUUUUCUGACGAGUUGGCAUGUAUAGAUGGGUGCGGUGCGGUUUGGUUCGGUUUUAAGAGAAAAAGUCAUCCGAUCCGAACGCUUAAUUUAUGUGCGGUGCGGUUUGAAUUGGAUGAACCAUUUUUUUAAAAUCCGAUCCAAUUACAAGCGGUUUGGAUCGGUUUAGAUUUGCAAUUUUUUGAAUAAAAAGAAUUAAAUACAUAUAACAAGUCUUAACAUCAAAAAUAAUUUAUUAUUUCAUGGUUAUAUGCGAUAAUGUUUUCUUUCUUGCUUUUACACUUUGGUAUAGCUUGAAGAACUUGAAAGUCAGAUUGAGUUGAAGACAUCCAUGCAAAACCAGUCAAAAAAACAAAUUUCUCAGUUGUCGGAGAAAUUUGUAAAAAAAGAAGAAACCUGCAAAAAGCAGGAAGAAAAUGUAUUUUUCCUACAAAUUUAGUUUCUGUUGAAUAUAUGUUACACUGGAAUUUAUUGUCACUUAUUACUCAGCAUUCUCUCUCCCGGGUAUGUAACGAUUUUUAUGUUCAUUAUUCAGAUGAAGGAGCUCGAGAAAAAAAAGAGCAGGAACAGAGCUCAGCUAUGCUUCGUCAGCAGGUAACUUUUUAUGUUCUUGCAUGAAUUGUACUUUUGCAAAUUGUUAUAUUAUAUAACACGGACUUUAUUUUGUUGCAGAUGAAGGAACAAGAGUGGCAAAGAAAGGCCACAGUCGACGCGGCCCAGGAGCUUGACAUGCUCUGGACCCGCUCAAAGGCUGUGGUCAUGGAUGCCACGAACAACUGCUCCUCUUUACAGCAGAAGUUCCUGGACCUCGCAUCGGAGAUAUUCGCCAUGCAACUCUCUAUCUCCGAAGUCAACCAGUCAAUUGCAAUUGGUGAGAAGAGUUCGGAUUCCCCUUGUCAAAGGGAUCUGAAUUCAGUGGAGCUAGUGACUCCAGUGGAGCUAGUGAUGGGCAAUCUUUUGCAACUGCAGAAGCUAGCUUGGGCAGUUACAUCUAGAGGAAAAGGACGAGGACGAGGACCAGGAAGACCUCCAAAGCGAACUAGCGGAUUGUAAAUACCUAGUGGCUCUGGAGGUCUUCCUGGUCCUCGUCCUCGUCCUUUUUCUCUAGAUGUAACUGCCCUGCCUUGGGUAGUAGCUUGCAGCACUCGAACAGGAGUUGAGAAGCUAGCUUCUGCAGUUGCAAAAGAUUGCCCAUCACUAGCUCCACUGGAGUCACUAGCUCCACUGGAUUCAGAUCCCUUUGACAAGGGGAAUCCGAACUCUUCUCACCAAUUGUAAUUGACUGGUUGACUUCGGAGAUAGAGAGUUGCAUGGCUAAUACCUCCGAUGCGAGGUCCAGGAACUUCUGCUGUAAAGAGGAGCAGUUGUUCGUGGCAUCCAUGACCACAGCCUUUGAGCGGGCCCAGAGCAUGUCAAGCUCCUGGGCCGCGUCGGCUGUGGCCUUUCUUUGCCACUCUUGUUCCUUCAUCUGCAACAAAAUAAAGUUCGUGUUAUAUAAUAUAACAAUUUGCAAAAGUACAAUUCAUGCAAGAACAUAAAAAGUUACCUGCUGACGAAGCAUAGCUGAGCUCUGUUACUGCUCUUUAAGCUUUUUCUCGAGCUCCUUCAUCUGAAUAAUGAACAUAAAAAUCCUUACAUACCCGGGAGAGAAUGCUGAGUAAUAAGUGACAAUAAAUUCCAGUGUAACAUAUAUUCAACAGAAACUAAAUUUGUAGGAAAAAUACCUUUUUCUUUCUGCUUUCUGCAGGUUUCUUCUUUUAUUUUCAAUUUCUCCGACAACUGAGAAAUUUGUUUUUCUGACUGGUUUUGCAUAGAUGUCUUCAACUCAAUCUGACCUUCAAGUUCUUCAAGCUAUACCAAAGUGUAAAAGCAAGAAAGAAAACAUUAUCUGCAUAUAACCAUGAAAUAAUAAAUUAUUUUUGAGGUAUUACACCAGAACUUACCAUUGCUUUUGUCUUUUGAAGUUCACUUGUGUCAACUUGCAUCUUACCGGAACCUAACACAACACCCCUCACUCUAGUUGCGAAAUUAAGUGAGCUAAGGGUUUCAUCUAAGUCCUUGUCCGAUGGACUGAUUUGCUGGAACAUCAAAGUUUUAGAGUCACCCCCUAAAUAUGUUAGGGAAGAGCAUUAUCAAUAUAUGCCUGAAGAAGCUGGGUGUUCUCAUAUGCACAUAAAAAACAAAAUGAAAAGAAGUAGACAUACCUAAAGAGUCUUCAAGUAAAUGUGUCAAUUUUGAGUUCCUGAAACUCCCAGAAGAAAAUAUCACUAAAUAUUUAUUAAGAAUAGUGAAAGGUAAGGAUAAUGGUGUUAUACCUAUAGGGAAUGUGCCUACUCUUCGCUGCUAAAGCAGAUAUAACAGUGCCAAGAGCCGAAAGAGAUAGGUUGAUAUUUUGUGUUUCCUUAAGCCGCUCCCCUUGCACAUCUGUCUUUGCAAGUCUCUCACUACCCGCCAAAUCCACAAGCCGAAGCUUACUCUUGGUACACUCACCAUUCAGCAAAUUUUUAGCCAUUACCAUUAUACAAAGUAUGCUGGAAAAGGAAGUAAGAAACAAGCAAUCAUUACAAGUAUUCAAAGAAGAAAUUUCAUUUUGAUGAAGAGAAGACAUAUAUACUAGAGAACUUCUUAUAGAAUGCAAAAGCUUGGUACCAGUGAGAUCUACUACUAUGCUUAUUAACAGUAUUACUUUCCACUGCUCUAGCUUUGCAUCCAGCUUGCAGUACAUCCCAGGCCUCCUUAACAUUUUCAACUUUAGCUUCUACGACACCAGGAAUGUAAUGAGAUCCUUUAGAGCCUUGUUUUAUCUCCAACCUGAACACCAAUUCAGGAGAAACAGUUAUCAAUGUUAUGGCAGUUUAUCAUACUUGCACAGCAUUAUUAUAGAGCAGUUAAUUUACCUUUUUGUUGUUGAUCCUGUAGCCAAUAGGUCUCUGAUUUGUUCAUUAUAAACCUCAAGUACACUAACAGAUAUGUCAUAAGAAAAUGUAUCACUCCUUUUUUUCUCAGGUCGAACAAGAGCUCAAGAGUCCUAUAAUUUACUCCUCUAUUCAGCUCUGUUCCCUCCAUGGUAAAUGUCUUUCCUGCUCCUGUUGGCCCAUAAGCAAAUAUGCAUACAUUGUAGCCGUCCAACACAGAUGUUACCAUUGAUGAGGCAUCAGCAAAAACAUCAACUGUAGAAACAAAGCAACACUGUCCAUUUACGAACCACCGAAUUCCAGAUCUUGCACAAUAAAAUAAAAUAUAUAAAAUAGUACUAAUAAAAUAAAGCUUUAUAUGUAUACCUUGAUCAUCUUUUGGUGUAUAAACUCUGUCAAAUCUGUAUUGUUUUUUUGGCAUACUAGUUGUCAAAAUUCCAUCCUUUGCUGCACCAAAAUCCAAAACUGUAGUACAGCCAGCGGAGAUCUCGUCCUUAUUUAAGGGACGGCAACGGCAGAAAACCCUAAUGUUCCCUGAUAUUCUUAACAGAAAUGCGUUAGUGCCUUUGGCUUAGAAUACUCUUCAAAUCAAAACAACUUUUGCUUAUAGAACAUGUAAGAUGUACCUUUAGACUCUUGAAGUUCACUGAAGAGCUUUUUUCUCUGUCAUCUCUUCAUUGUACUUCACUUUGAGAUCUUCACACUGCUUAACUGCAAAAAGUUUAGUCCCUUAAGUAUUUUUGUAAUAUUUCAAAACCAAAAAAGUUAAGUGCAACUCAACUCUUGAAUAAAGAGAACAAGUGUAUUACUCAAGCAUACCCAAUUCCUGAAUUGCAAAUACCAUCUUAUUUAAUUCUGGGAUUGAAUCAACGCAUUCAUGCGCUUCAAGAGAAAGUUGACAAUAAUCACUCUUCAUCAACUGCAGGGCAAAUUAGGUGCAUGUACACUUAGAAUGCAAUUCUGAUCAUGAUAAAAAUAAUCUCUCUUAAAUAUAAAUGUUUCCUAGAUUUUCAUAACUUACCUUUACUUUCUCCUGUAAAUUGCUAAUUGCUUCUGUCCAUUUCUUCUUAUCAACUUCAUACCAGCUAGAAAUGCUUCCCACAGUUUGAUCUACAAGGACAAUGAAAAUAAAAUUAGGAAAUGCUACCAAGAAGCCCAAAGCACUUCAACGAUAUACAAGUACUUUAACAACCAGUAUCAAGAUAACUGAGAAAAAACACCAAUGGAACAGUGAGCUCUCCCAACUUAGUGUAUCACAUCAUGGAAAUAAGAGAAAAUAACAUUGGCAGAGGGAUUCCAAUUUCUCAAUGCCCUCCCUCACCCUCACUCACUCCCUUAAAUACCCACUCUUACACCCUCGCUCUCUCACGCCCACUAUUUUAAAACCAUGAGCUAUCCAUGGAUGAAAAAAAAAGGCCCAGAUCCUCAUGUUCCUACAUAUUCAUGUGAAUUAAUCCCAUUAACCAAGUUAAAUAAAUUUCAUAGACUCCAAUAUAAGAAAAUCAAUACAAUUCAUAUACCAUUAGUUAGGAAUUUUAAUUUGAAAUGAUCAAAGGUCAUAUCCAUUGCUUGCAGUUGCUCCAUCGUUGCAGAUAGUGACCUACACUCCUGAUGGAUUUUUUUGUUGAGAAGCUCAUAUUGCAUGUCCAUUUUAUUUAUUUUGUCCAUCUGAAUAAGAAAGCUCACUGUAACACCCUCACUAUCAGAAGUCACGCUUCCGGCUGCGCUACUCUGAUAGAAAGAAGUAUUACGACUACUUUACAUACUAAAUACUAAAAUAGGAGCCUGUGACUUGACACUAUAUCGCUGAUUUUUUUGAAAACCAGAAAUAAAAACUUUAUCUUAAGAAAAAUACAAGCAGGCAUAGAUUCAUAUACAAGACUCCUUACAUAAUAAUUCAAUAUAAUAUACAUAUAAAACAUACAAAUCAUAUCCCUCUUGCAAACUUGUAAUAACAAAAACGAGGGAAGAAAAUAAUCUAAUUGAUACAACAACAUAUAAACCAAACACAGUAUAAUUCUUCUUAAUGCUUCUUCAUCCGGUUUCUGAAAAGGUAAAGCUGUAGGGGGUGAGAACCUAACCACACAGUCUCACCACGGAAUUUCAAAGUUGUCAUAAAAAGAUAUUUUAUAAGAAAACUAUUUUCAAGCUCAGUGAUUAUCAUUGCCUUAUGAAUCUUUUAAAAACCAAUAGGUAAUCGUUCAAAACCUUUUCAAAGAAACAAUGUUUAUUCUUUCAGAAAUCUGAAACUUUUCCUUUCUUAAAAGAAAAUCUCAAUCAGAAACCAACCAUACAAUCAAACAACACAAUCAUUAAUUCAGCACCAAAAUUCAUUCUCAAAUUAGCACGCCAGGACAAACACAGGCAAGACAGACAAGGAAAGCACAAGUAUGUAGCAGUUACAGCAAAUAGUUCAAGUAGCAGUUAAGAACAGUUUAGCAAUUAGGCAAACCAAAACAAGUUCAAACUCAAGCAAAGCAUACAAAUGCAUAUGAUGCAUGCCUGUCCUAUGGCUGAUGAGGCUCAUCUGUCGGUUAUCCAGCCAACCCGACAAGUAUGAAUUGUCCUUAGACUGUCCCCCGACGUGCAUCCCCAAGAGUCUAUGCAUAGUUUUUCUCAAAUAAUCAAUAUUGCUCAAUGGGGGUAAACAUUCCCGGAAAUUUAUAUAGUGCCUGGUCACACUUACGUCGUAGGGUCAACAGAGUAUCGAGUUUUCAACCUGGUACACGUGGUGGCAAGCCACGGCACUUAAUCCAGGGAACUUCGUAUCUCAGAUAUUUCAAAUUCAUAAGCCAUAUGAAUAAUUCAAAGAUCAUAUCUCAACAUUCUCAACAUUCAUAAUCAUUCAUUAAUCCAAAUCUCAUUUCCAAAUUCAUUCAAAAACCAUAUUUCAGAGAAAAUUCUCAAUCAUCCUUCUUUCCAUUCCGUUCACUAAUAAUUCUCAAUCCAAAACAUAACUCUUCCUUUGAUAAAUGAGAUAGUUUUAAAUCAUAUAAUACUUAAAACCUUUUUAAAAUAACUACUUUCAAUGAAACUUCUAAUUUUAUAAAAUUUUGGCAACAUCUCAGAUACUGCCACCCUUUUCGGGUCCCAUCCAAACAUUUCUCAAACCAUUUCCAAAUCUCAAUCACUUUCCAAAAUUCAACCAAUUCCAGUAUCAAAUAUUUUAAAACCAGACCAAUUCCAAUAAUAAAACUCUUUUUAAAGUCAAACCAACUCAAGUAUUAAAUCAUUUAUAAAAUCAGACCGACUCAAAAUCAAACCGCUUUAACUUCAAACCAAAAAAAACCAUUUUUCCUAAUAAUCAAGUAAAUAACUUUUCAAAUCCACUUCUUAUCAACAACCGUACUUCAGUCAAGCAAUCAAGCACCCAAUAAUCCAGUCCAACAAACCAUCACAUCUACAAGACAAAUAUAAUCACAGAAAUAUAUCUUUUUGCAUCAAUAUCUAUUUAUCACAACUCUGUAAUGUAAAAUAGAUUUUAAGAAAAACCCCUACCUCAACUCGUCGAAACUCUCAAAAUCAAAACGCAUCAACCCAUUUUUCCUCGACCAGCGACAGCUGCAGCUGCAACCUCAGCUUUAUCCACUAUCAGUAGCAGCAACCGAAACUCUAAGCGCGACACGCAACAACCGGAACUCGAUCCUACGUUACCAACAUCUCAGAAUCUUUAUCAAAUUCAUAACAGAGCAGACAUACACUAGCGGUGAAGGUUUUGGAAAAGAUAUGCUUACUGGAAUAAAGGAGAAACAUGGAGACGAAGCAACGGCAGCAGCUCCGACACUUAGAAGAACAAGACUCAGCAUAAACGAACCACAGUCGGAACCCAAACUGGAGUGGGCUAGGGUAUGGCAGCUGUAGGGACGUCCUCCAGCGACUGCAGCAGCGGUUUUCUAGCGCUGUUCGGUGAGGCAGAACAGCGGUGGUAACUUCCACCGUCGUUAUCUCCUCUCUUCCGGCGACAAGCUCCUGCGGUAAGGAUGGUCGAGCUCCCUUCCAGUGACGGCAACGACGUUACUUUCUUCCUCUUUGCCUCGUUUGACGGUGACGGCGCGGCUGGGGUUCGGUGGCGGUGAUUUCUUCGACAGCGGCUACGAGAUGCGGCUUCUCGAUAGUGUCUCUCUUUGGCUCCCACAAGCGACAGUGACACGCGGUGGCCUCGACUAUGGUGGCAAGGAGCACGGCGGCACGAGGACGAACGGCGAGGCAAGCUUGACGGCAGGACAUGGCGCAGUGGCGGCGCGGGCUGGAAGCGGUCUGGCGGCGCGGACAGCUCCCCCCUUUCCCGGCGUUCUCCCUCUCUCGGAUCCUCCCCCUUCUCUCGCAACCCUCACUCUCCUUUCUUUCUUUUCUUCUUUCUUUCACUGAACUCUGUGUGUGUUAGUGAAUGAGUGUAUUGUUUGUGUGUGUGUGCUGAUUGUGUGGGUGGGGUAACCGUGAGUGAGGGGGGUGAGAGAGUGAGUGUCACAUGUGACUGUGGGGUGUUAUUUAGUUAGGGUUUGGGGUAGAUUAGGAAAUUUUAAUAAAGAUAGGGGUAAUAAUAUAAUUUUAUAAAAUAAAUGAAAAGAUAAAAUAAUAAUUAAAAACCAAAUUAAAUGUAAAGUAUCCAUCUUUCAGUUAUAAGAACUCUAAAUAAUAAAUAAGAGUUUACUCAAUUUUUAUACAAAAAUAUCUAAAAUGUAGUCUUAAAUAAAUAUAAUACAUCAUAAUAAUUUAUUAAUAAUUUUUAAAUAUUUAUGGGUCUUACACUCACCAAAGCAUAGUUAUCAGAACGGAACCGGUAAUCAAACAUCAAUUUGAAGCUACAACAGGAUUACUGAUUAUCACAGCAUUCAUAACAUCAAAUCAAACACUUCAAACCACAAACUACAAAGGACAACUGAAUCCAAGUACAUAGUAGUAUCUUCACUCUAAAGCAUAAAAAUAGCCUACUUCCAACUGAAUCCGAUGUGUCUAUGCAUGAAACCAUAGAACCAACCAUUUCUAAGUGGAGUACAAGGGUUUGCUCUGUCCAGCAUUCAUUUAAAAGCAGCAGACAAAACCAAAUGAAGCACAUAUACUCGGCUAUGAUUCAUUAGAGAUUGACCUAUUUUUACAAAGCAUUUAUAGAGAGAGCGCUCCAAUAGAGGAGACGACGACGGCCACAGAGCUUCCACACAACGGCGACACAGCUUCCUAGGACGGCGACACAGCUUUCUAGGACGACGACGACACAGGUUUGGUUUAACAUUCAACAAAUCAAAUAAAUAAUCCAAUUUCAAACUCAGAACAGAGACUCAGCUCAGAAUCUUCAAAAUUAGUUGGAAAAAAGAUGAAUGGCGAAGACAGAAUGAGCUCGGAGAGUGUGAAACAGAGUUACCUAAAAUCAGAGGAGAAGAUAAGGGACGACAGCCAAAAUGGCGAGGAGGGAGCAGCGAGAGGGCGACGAGGCGACGGCGACGGCAACAGGACGAUCGCGAGCAGGACGAAUCUGAUGGAGGAUGGGCGGCGAGCGAGGAAGAAGACAGAGAACGGGGGUUCGACUUGGAUAACGCCGACAGUACGAAGAGAGACUCCUCGAAUGGCCACGGACGGCGGCAGUGGGUCACUGAGCUCAGCGGCGGUGGAGGAACGAAUGAAAGUAAGAAAGGAACGAAAACUCGAAAAGACACNNNNNNNNNNNNNNNNNNNNNNNNNNNNNNNNNNNNNNNNNNNNNNNNNNNNNNNNNNNNNNNNNNNNNNNNNNNNNNNNNNNNNNNNNNNNNNNNNNNNNNNNNNNNNNNUAUUAUUCUAUAAUAAUUAUAUUAAAUAUACAUUAAAAUUAUUUAUCAAAAUUAGUUAUUAGUAUAAAAUAUAUAUUAAAAUAUAAAAAUAUAUUAAAAAUAAAUUAAAUUAUAUAUAAAUACAUAAUAGCUUAUUUGAUAUUUGAUUUUUUUAAAUACAUAAUGAUUUUUUAUUCUAUAAAUAUUUAACUUUUCUUUCCAGUGGUACAAACUAUACAAGUAUACAACACUUGAAAUAAGGAACUGGUUUACUUGGAUGACAAGUUAACAUUGAUUUGUGGAUAUCUCAAAGUUAUAUUAUAUUACUUUACAACCGAUGGAUCUAAGCCACAAAUAUAUAAUAUAUAGUAAUAAAUAAUCUACAUGUACACUACAAGUCUCCAAGACAUAGAUGGCACGCAGGCCUUAUUAUGCAUUGUAUACCAUAAAACUUAAAAAGCAAGAGAGAUAUUGAAGAGCAAGGUGCUUAUUGUAGGGGGAAUAGGAAAAAGGUUGGUGAAGGCAAGUUUAGAUGAAGGGCAUGAAACAUAUGUUCUUUGUAGAAAGUUCAGCUUCUUUUGUCAUUCAAGGAACAAGGUGCUAACCUUGUAACAGCUUCCUUUCAUGAUCAUCACUCACCUUGUCAAUUCAACUUAAGCUCGUUCAUGCUAUCAAGGAAGCCGGAAAUAGCAAGGUAUACCAUUCAAUUUAAUUUCUAUAUAUAAACUAUUAAUAAUAUUAGGAAAAAAAACCAUUAUAUCAAAACAUUCGAUAUGAUAAAGUUUUAAUAGAAAACACGCGUUGAACGAGGGCGCCUCUUAUUUAAAUAAUAUUAUAAUAAAUUUUGUUGAUAUAAUACUUAUGUAUAAUAGAGAUUUUUUGCCUUCCGAGUUUGGGAUGAACCCAGGAAGAAUGGAACAUGCUUUGGAGCCAGGAAGAGCAACAUUUGAUGACAGAAUGGUAGUGAGAAAAGCCAUAGAAGAAGCUAAGAUACCACAUACCUAUAUUUCUGCUAAUUGUUUUGCUGGUUACUUUCUUUAAAUCCAAAUCGAUCCAAAUUAAACCGCUCAUUCAAUCCAAUCCAAAUCGAAAACCGAUUAAAACCGCACUAAUUCGGAUUUGAUUGGAUUUUAUUUUUUGCAAACCGUUGGAUUGGAUCGGAUUUCGGAUCUACUUUUCAUAACCGAUCCAAUCCAAUCCAAACCGCAUAAUGUACUAUAAUAUUAUUAUUUUAUUAUUAUAUUUACAAUUAUAUUUAUAACAUGUUUAAUUUGUUAUACAUUUUUUUAUUAUUCAUUUAUUAUUUUUAUUUAAUAAAUAUUUUAUGUUUAAAAUAUUAUUUAUUUAUUUAUUUUAACUAACUUAUAAUUUUAUUUCUAUUGUUAUGUUAUCGUUGGCUUUUUAAGAUAUGUUAAAUGUUAAGACUUGUUAUGUCAUUGUUGAUUAUUUAAAAUUUGAUGUUAAGACUUGUUAUAUAUAUUUAAUUUUUUUUAUUCAAAAAACCGCAAAUCCAAACCGAUCCAAACCACUUGUAAUCGGAUUGGAUCGGAUCAGAUUUAAAAAAAAAGUUCAUCCAAUCCAAACCGCACCGCACAUAAAUUAAGCGUUCGGAUCGGAUGACUUUUUCCCUUAAAACCGAACCAAACCGCACCGCGAACACCCCUAAUGCCUUCAAGGGAUUCUGUGGUCUUCUAUGGAGACGGCAAUGUCAAGGGUAAUUACUAAACUAUGCAUCUUCUUAUAUAUAUACUUAGCUUGAGUUAUUACCUAAUUGUUUUCAUAACAACAUAUUAUUUAAGAUUAAAUAUGGUAAAUUUCGUCUUUUUUUUUCUCUAUUUUCUUGCUUAGAAUUUACCUUUCAUGUUUUCAACUUUAUAAAAUUUAAGAAGUUUCUGUCAAUUUUUAUCUACAAAGCUAUGUAUGUGCACAUAAAAAAUAGUAAUUAAAUUAAUUAUUAUUUUUUAACUAUUUUUUAAUAUAUUUUAUAUUUUAAUAUAUAUUUUAUAUAAAUGAUUGAUUUAAUGACUGAUUUUUUUUAUCCGUAACAUAUAUGUAUAUAAUACAAUUGUUCAUUUAAAGAUGCAUGUUGAAAUAACAUCGGAAGUACAAUAAUCUACUAUGAGCUUUAUAUUCACAUGAAUGUUCCUUGCGGUAUUAAUGGCUAUGAGUUUUUGUUUUAUGGUGAUGAGUAGUAUCAUGUUCGGGAUUUUUUGUCUCUAAAAGAAUGUACUAUGUGGAUUGUCCCUUGUGAACUUUUAUGUUGUAUAUUUUUGUAAACUCAACAAAGGAAAUUAUUGGAUCGUAAGACGCACAAGAAAUACAAGGGAAUUAAAAAAUAAAUUAUGUUGUUAAGGCCUAAGGGGAACAUUUUAUUUGAACCCUGCUUAAUAAAAAGUUCAUCUGGUUCUUGAGGUUAAAGAAAACUUGUGCGCAUCAAGCCAUGAAUAUUUUGGUACUUGUGGAUAGUCAAAUAUUUGUUUCUAUCCUAUUUGUUUCUGAGUGCCAAAUUCUUGGCGAAAACGGGGACGAAAUUUAUGCAUGUGUCAAAUUUUAAAUGGAGACACAAUGCAUACAUAAGACUUUAAUCAAAAGUCCAUAGCCAAUGGAUUGAGAUUCUUAGUAUUAAUCAAUUAGCUCCAGUUGAUAAAACUAAACAGCUAUGGUUAAAGCGCGAAUGUAUCAAAUUAACACCAAAACCAUAGGAUAUGUCAGUAUGUCACAUGCAAAUCAAAUCUGAUAAAUCGGAGAAAAAUUAACGGGAAAAAAAAAAAGAACAGAUGAAUCUGGAAAACAAAGCACUAAGAAAGAAGGAGAGUUUUGGAGAGAGAAAUUGAGAAGUAUUAAAGAUAACCUGAGGGAAAUUAGAGCUCUGAGCCCAAACACUGCCGUCUUGGCCGACGAUUGCGGCGGAGGAGAGGUGGUUGCCUUCAAUUUCGCAGAGAAGGUGGUCAUCGACGUAGGUUUGCCACGACGGCAACCGGCGAGACGACGGCGAGAGUAGAGACGACGGCAAGCGGUGAUCCGACGGCGAACUGCUCCAAGCCACGAACAGAGAAGCCAGCGAGGAUGGGGACAACGUGCCGAGCUACCUGGGUUCCGGACAGGGGAAGAGGAAGAAGCGGAAGCGCUGAGAACCUGGAGACAGCGGCUACAAAAAAUCUAGGGCUAGGAUUUUGUCGAUUUGGUUUGGGUCUUUAACUGCUUUUCUUUAGAGGGGUAUGAAUGAUCAAGACUCAAAAGAAUUGGGGAAGAUGAAGAACAAUUUUAAUUUUUUGUUUUUUUAAUAUGUUUUUGUUUUGUUGUUUUAAUUAUUUGAAAUUAUAAAAUUAGGAUUAAUUGAAUUCUAAAAUUUGAUUAAUUUAAAAGGGUAUUUUUGUCUAAUCAAAUAAAAAAAAUGUUUAAGUCUUUUUAUAAAAUUAAAUAAAUAAAUGUUGUUUUAUUUUUAUUUAAUUAAAAGGGUAUUUUAGUAAAAGUUGUGAUAUACUAUAUAUUUAAAAAAGAAAAAAUUAAAUGCUGACGUGAAAAAUAAAUUCCACAUGUUUUAUUAUUAUUUGUUCAUAUUUUAAACGUAUCGGUACGUAUGAAUUUAUUAUCGUACCGUAGCAAUCACCUAGAUUUUAAUUUUGAUGCACUGAUAAUGUAAAAGUUUUAUACAGUCGUAUAAUUACAUCUGUUUUUUUGAAUGACUAUUCAUGCAGUGUAUGUGAAAGAGAGUUAUUUUGACUGAUAUGAUAUUACGUAAUUAAAUAUACGUAUAAAAGUAUUUUACACUAAUAGUGCAUCUAAAUUAAAUUCUAUUAAUAUAAUCAACCAAAUUUUUUGAAACAAAAUAAUAAAAUCAACAUUAUCCAAAGCAAAACAAACAUUGUUUAACACAUAUAAUUAAACAUUUCUAAAUUUAUAAUCAAUCAAAUGUAACACAUAAUCCAAAAUAUAACUUAGAAAGCCGUGCGUGUUAGACGAACUUUUUAAGUUUAACAAUUUUAAAUUUCUAACUUAGUCCGUCCUUUUUAAUGGAUUAUGCAGGUCAAACUGACAAUUUUUGACUCGUUUGCCACCCCUAAUAAACACUACUUAUUAGGUGAGAAAGAGAAUUUCCUCUUUUUAAGAGAAAAAAUAUGAUUGUUUUCAUCUAAAAAUAUCAUAAAAUAUUAAGUAAGAUAAAUUCAAUUGUAUGUUUUCUUUUUGUUCCACAUAAUAUUCCUUUGUGAGUAAAAUAUAAUUGUCACAAACUCACAUUAAUAGCCAAAUCAAAAGAAUGAAUACUUGUGAUGUUUUUCUAUCUAAGCAAGAUAUGAAUGAAUCAAACUUGGUAAAAUCCAUUGAAAGGAGAGAAACAAAAUGUUCCGACCACAACCUUCAGAUCUCCCAAACAGCCAAACAAUUACCUGAUUUUUCGGGUCCAGGCCCAACAUACGAAAUACGAUUCAAAAUUGGUUAGAAAACCAGAAAAAGAAAUCUCCUCUAUCUAUGACCAAAAAAAAAAAAUAUCCUCUAUCUUAACCUAUAAAAUAAAGAGAAAAUGACAAGUACGUUUUUUAUCUUUUAUCCCACAGACAUUUUUAUUUUUGACCAUUAAAAAAUAUUUUUAAAUUCUUGACUUUUACAAAAUUUAGACGGAUCAGUCCCUGGCGGAAGCAUUUGGACUUAUCAAUCCUGACGGAGGCAUUUGAACUGAGGGACUGAUCCGUCCAAGUUUUGUAAAUGUCAAGGAUUCAAAAGUAUUUUUUAAUAGUCAGAGACAAAAAUGUCUGCGGGAUAAAAAGUCAGGACUUAUUUGUCAUUUUCUCUAAAAUAAAAUAAAAUAACGACUCACUAUAUAAAAAUAUUCAAAUAACCAAGUUGGGUUAAAAUAGUAGUUAAUUUACAAACAAGUGUCGUGAGUUCGAAUUUCACCUUGUAUAUGCAACAAUCCAUUGACAAGCGGCACGACGGGAUUAGUCUUGACCUGUCCGGUGGAUGAUACGUAAAAAAAUAAAAAAAAAAUUUCAAAUUAAAUUUAUAUUACUUUAUAGUUUAUUCUAUUUUCUUGUUUCCCACCGGAGCAGGAAGCUUGAAGCUGCGACGGUACGUCCCCUUCCUCACCUCCCAGAGAUUGAAGCUGCGAGUUCCUCUGUCCGCCACUCCGCGAGCUCUGUUGUCGCCUUGCCGUCGUCUUCUGCCUCUCGUUGCCGUUUUCUUCAGCCAGACUCGCCUCCAGUUCCAUCCCUUCCGGCGUUCAGGUAUAAUGCGCGACUCUGUUCCUCGAUUCAGCUCUUCAACAUCUCGUCGCUAAUUGUUCUUCUUCAGCAUCCGUUAGUUGUUCUUCUUGUUGCUAAUUCUUGUAGUUAUUGAAUAUAUUUGCUGUUAUUGUUCUUGAUUACUUAAAGUUUUUGCUAAUAAUUGUUCAGUUCUUGUAGUUAUUGCUGUUAUGGUUAUUAUUAAUUUGUUAGUGAUUGUUGCUGUUGCUGCUACUGUUCUUGUUGAUUUAUUAAUUUUUUUGCUAAUAAUUGUUCAGUUCUUGCUAAUUUUUUUACUACGAUUGAACCAUUGAUCUAGUGAACCAGUAGCUAGAUUGAAUAAUCAUUCAUUCUUCUAAGGUGGUGCUAAUAAAUUGUGUCAGCUAAUGUAAUAAGAUGUCGCUGCGGCGUUUCUUGGGAUUUUCCGAUGGUGAGCUGAUGAGGUCUGAUGCAAAACCUUGCUCCAGGUUGAUGAGACACACUGCUGGGAUAUUCAGUGUUGGUGGAGCCUUAGGAUUUUGGGUUCUUUGCCGAUUGCACUAUGGUUUGCUUUUUUCUUUUGUUCCCUUGUUUAUGUCUAUGCAUCUUGUUAUUUUUCACAUGCCUUCUAAGUGUUUGGUGAAAUGCUACACUUAUCAUAAUGGUAAGAUUUUAGUUUCUGCUUCCUUGCAUUUAUGAAUGUCUUUCACAAGCAAAUUUCAAAGGUUCACCCAUUUAUAAAUAUAUAAUACAUGUUUUUUUAUCCUUUUUUAAUCUGUGUUAUUCGGUACUUUAUGUAUGUAUUCUCCUAAGCCCUUAACGACCCAUAGUUAACAGUAUCACUAGUGGACUAGGAAACAAUAAAAGAUCAUCAUUCUAGUAAAUAAUGGGAAGAAUGUAACUCUGAAUACUUGGUUACAGAGAGAUAUGCUUAGCUCUACUUACCUCGUCCAGAAUUACUACUAUCGAAAUGGGAAAUGAACAAACAAUGUAAUGCUAGCAGUAUCACUGAAUGUUUUUUAGAAGAUUAUAGUAAUGUAACAGGUUCAAUACACUCUUGUAGCUGUAUCAAUAUAAAGUGUAAGAUUAUGGUAAUAUAACAGGUUCACUACACUUAACCCUUUGAUUCUUUAACCACACUUGCAAUUAGUCAAAGAAUUGGGAUCAAAAUAGAAGAAUGGAGAGAGACGAAAUCCUAUUCAUGGAUUAGGUAAAACCAUGCUUGACUUCAGACUUUUUUCUGAUGCUAGCCCCAUAUAACCCCUCCAAUUUGUAGCUAACCCUUCACGAAAUCCUUAAGCGGCCAAGCCAAUUCAGGCCCAUUGGCACUGCUACAGAAGAGUAGUGACAUUGUCCCACUUGAAUCUCAGCAAACUCUUCUGUUUGAUGUUUUUCCAUGUUUCAUUUCCUGUGAUUUAUUUGGCUUCUUGAAAUUGUUACAACUUUGAGCCCUUGCUUCUUUUUUUGGCCUUUUUUCUAUUUACCAAAACCAAGAAUAGUCAUUUGAUCUUCCUUGGAUGAUGAUAUUAAAGCAAAUAGAUAAUGUAUGGAUCUUUUUCUUGUCUAAUUAGAAAUAGGAAAUCAACUUAUUAAUGUGAGCCAAUAUGACUUAUACAGAUUUCUUGUCUGCUCUUUUGGUAGAAGCUAGUCCUAAUGUUAUUUGUGAACAUUGCACUGAGAUUAGCCACUACUUUUCAUUUGUCACACUUUUUCUCUUGUUGGCUAUGAGUUUGUUUGUAAGUUGGUUUUAGAGAGAAAGGGAGGGGAAGGAGGGUUUGUAGUGUUGUACUUUGAAAUUCUACACUAUAAACCACUUCCUUCUUCUCCUCUCCAAAAUCCCAACUUGCAAAUUACCCCUUAAAUAGAAUAUGAGAAAAGAAAAUAAAGCUGUAGAAAAGAAAGUAAAUGUGUGUUUCAGAUAUCUGGUUUCACUCUAAAAUGGUCUUAUGAAUUUUUCAAAUAGUUUUGGGUGCAAACAUUUUCAACUUUUUUGAGUCCUUCCACAGUUCCACUACAACUAAUAAUCAAGUUUUUGCAUCAUUAUCACUGCAGGCCCUCGAAUUACAAUUCCCAGGAGUCUUCGUUGGGCAGCUUGUGGUGCUGUAACUACAAGCGCAAGCACAGCUUUGCUGGUUCGUUUAUUUAGUCCCGAGUGUGAACCCCAGAAUAUCGCUGCUUAUGACAACAAAAAGUAGUACUGGCUGUUCCUCUCUCUCUCAUUACAUAGAAAGCAGAAAAUGAUAUAUUUUGGGAUGCUUUAAUGAUGGACUAGCAAGAGUGAAUUACACCACACUAGUAACUCUUAGCAUCUACUUAGUGAAUCAGGUUACCGUUGUAUUGCAUUUGUAAGUUUUAUCGUAUGUCCUAUGAAUUCGAUUAUAUGCUGACUAUCAAGAUCAUCAAGAAAGUCAGCAAUUUCCUCUUUGGUCUGAUAAUAUGCUGAAACAAAAAAAUAUCUUAUAUAAUAAAAAAUCACACUUGAUAAUAUCAAUGGAAUUGAAAAUAAAAAAGAUUUAUUCUCAUUUCUAUAUAUACUCACUUUUUAUAGACAAACUUGAUUUGAUUUAAGGGACUACAAUGGUUAGAUUCAACAAGCAUUCUAAGAACAACAUUUUGGUUAAUGUAUUACAUUGUAUAUUUCUAUGCUGUAGUGACAAAACUUCAUCUCAAUUUUAUAUCACUUAUCACAGUAUUGCAUGUUGUGAACCCCCCCAACUAUAAGGGAGACAAAGAAUGACCCUGUCCAUAGAUAUACAGGCUACAUGUUUCUUUCCAUUUUCAGCGGUUUCAUAACUUAGAAUUAGCUGCAGAACUUUGGCUUUUAACCUUUCUGAUUAGGCCUUCUUGAACCAAUGAUGCAAGAAGCUGCAUGUUUUUACAAAAUAGGCACACCCACCAUAAGAAUCAAAAGGAAUAUGAUUUUUGAUGGAGAUUAUGUUCAAAUGAUAUUACACUUACCUCUCGUUUCUGAUUGAACAUCUGGCCUGUGACAGUGCCACGUGCAUUAUAGGCACUAGGACUAAAAAUCUGCAGAACACAUUUGAAGGAAAAGUCACAAUUGUCAAAUAUUAAUUGAUUGGUUCAUUGUUCAUUUGAAAGAGGAACACUGUGAAACUCACCACAUAUAGUAUCCAGUCAUCAGCUAUUACAGGUCGGUGAAACCACAUCCUGAGAAAUGAAUUUGAAGAAUUGAAAACUUUUGUAUGGUAUGCCUGAGAUGUAAAAAAUGUUAAUUGUGUACUUACGCAUGAUCAAGACUAACAGAGCUUGCCUUCAUACCCUGCUUCCGGUGGGGAUUCAAAGCUACUUGAAGAAAUAUUAAAUCAGAAGCAAAUGCCACCACACACCUAAUGGAUAAUGGACAAACAAAAAAUAUGAAAUCCAAGAAAGCUUAUGCCUAAUGUUAAGUAUUCCAAAGUGAUAUAAGAUAAUGUACCUAUGCAAGGCCUGAUCAUCUGAAAGUUUUCCCUUUGCUCUAAACCAAAAAUUCAAACUGCAUAAAACAUUUAAACAAGUAUUAAAGAAGGCAAAGAAUUGAUCUACCCUUCUUUUCCCCAGCAAAGUAUUACCUGGGAGGAGAUUUGGUCUGAUUUGUUGAAGUUGUAGGUUCACAGAACCGUAUCUCUAUUGGCCAGGGGGUGAAUUUAGUUGUAGCAAUUUUGUUCCGGUAAGUUCUGAAGCAACAAAUUUAGUCAUCAAAGAUCCUUAGCUUUAUACACAUGAACGUUCUCUAAAUAGAAUCUUAUAUUCUCUAAGAACACAUUGCACCCCCCCAAAAUCUUACUUUGGAAGACGAGGAUCAGUAAGACGUCUCUCCCGCAGCUCCUCCAUUGACAAAAGCUAGAAACAAUUAAUAAUCUGAAAUCAGCAACACCAUUUUCAUUCUUAAAUCUUAAUUAAUAUAAAUAACCAUGUAACUUACCUUAUCUGGUGGAGGCACAGAUGGCAUGGCUACCUCCUGGUGGUCAAAUCCUAAUUCUUCUUUCUGUAUAUUAAGAAAAUAACUUAAGCAUACUCUGAAUUUAUGAAAGAGAAUAUGUUAAAUGAACAUGUCUCAGUUGUUGUUGCAUGGGAAAGUUCAUUCAAUACUGUCUCUAAGAAGAACAUAAAUUACUUGAAAUGAAGCCAGCAAAGUGAACACAAUAUUUCCCUUUUGAAUUGCAUCAACUCUCCGCGUGGCAAAGCUCUUUCCAUCUCGGAGACGAUCAACUUUAUAUACAAUUGGCACUGGAAGAAGAAUGUUCAUACUAAGUAUGUUUGUUUACAAUUAUGAAGUAAAGCAAACAAUUUAUUUAGCAGUGCAAUAAUCUACAUGAAUGCAUUGAGUUUAUCUUGGUACAGAAGCAUAGAGAGCUUGAAAAUUGAAAUUACUUACUGCUAUUAUUGCUUAUAGAUAGCUUAUGCUUAAUGAGUUAUUUACCUAUUUUUAUUCAAAGAAUAUUACCUACUAAUUGAUCUAGUCUCAGCAAAAGACAUUCAAACAAAGGAUAAACAGUUCAAUAAAUAUAUAUAUAUCUCAUCUUAAGAGAAGUAAAAAGAAUCAGAAAGACAAGUUUAUGAGUAAAGGUGCUUACUGUGUAGGUCCCCUGGAAGAAUAAAAUAGGCAUGCAAGCUGUGAACAAGCUUAGAAAAGUCAACUGAUUUUGAUGCAGCAGCCAGUGCCUGUAAGUAAGAGGUCAUCUCAGUAGUCUAUGUCUAGAAGCUUCUACUGAAAUAAGUCAAAUGCAUUAUAUGAACAUACAGCAGUUUUGUCAUACCUGCCCAAUAAACUGUCCCCCAAACACCUUUCCAAAAUGUGGAGCAUCCGGAAGUGUAACUCCUUUGAAAAUAUUUACCUUCAAAACAGAAAGAGGAAAAAAAAGGCUAUAAGGUUUUCAAUGUUGAUAUACAACAUGUUAGUACCAAUCAUCAAAGAUAGACAUCUAUGUAUAGGUUAGGAAAUAAAUAUGAAUCCAUUUCAAAGAUUUUCAAAUUAAUAAGGUAAACUAAGAUGACCUCAAUGGGUUCCAAAUGCAAUAUAAUCUCCAGAGUUGAAGAUGUUUUGACAGAGUUGUCGGCUCUCCAGAUAGAAUUAGGGUGCAGCAGUGGCAAGUGUUCUUGGGGCAGCACCAAGCAAGUGAGCUAACACAGGAAUCAACAAAAGUGAAUACAGGCUAACAUAGGAAAACAAUAAUUAUGAUAAGAAACAAACUAAUAGGGCACCUUUGACAAAGCAAUGACAUCUGUCUGGUGAACUGGAUUUGAAAAACCUGCAAGUAGAAGGAUUAUAAACUAAAGAAAAUCUAAAGAGCCAGCACUUUUAUUAAAAUUUAGUCAGCAUUUAACUAGCAGAAAAAGAGUGUGUAAUCUCACACCAUCAGAUAUAAUUUCACAUUAUUAAAAAUACUAUUAAUGACUACAAAUUACAAAAUGUACUGAUCCCCUAACACUACUGAACUAACUAUGCAUGGUAAGACAAAGAUCCAAGGACGAAUUAUGUUUACUACCAUAACCAAAGUAGUCAUAUCUUUUCAAUUGAAACUGUGGACGAAUUUCAUCAUUGGCCUUCACAGAUCCAACAACCUCAGCCUCUCCCUCCCAGAUGAAGUAGACACCAUCCCCAGCCUCACCCUCGCGAGCAACAUACUCUGCUGCCUCUACACAAGUACAUACAACAAUUCAACAACAAUACUAGAAUUUCCAGAAAAUUCACUGCAUGAUUCUAUGCUAACAUGUUCUUCGAAUUUACCAUAGUGUUUGACAACCACGAGUUGAGAUAUCUUCCUGACUGAAGAGCGAGGAAGCCUCUGCACAAGAGGAACGCAUCCCAAAAACUCAAUCACUGCAACAGAAAACAAAAAAACAAACAAUGUUAUCGCAUUCGUUUUGUGUUUUUCUCUUGAUCCAAACACUCAAUUCUCUCACCUUGCUCGUUGUCCAUUUCGCACUCGAUUCAAAAACAAAUUCAAAUUCGCUUUUUGUUUGGUUUUAUCGCCAGAGAAUGAUAGAAUAGAAUGAGUCAAAAAACACUUUUCUCAAAAUUUAAAUAUGUUUAUUUAUUUAUUGACUCAUAUCAUAUCAUAUCAUAUAUAUGAAACUGAAGAAAAGAAGAAGGAAUGAUAGAAUGUUGGGCGUGCACGUGAAUAACGGUGGUCGGUGGUGGGCCACAGCGGAUCUUAGUCUCUGUUCCGUCCAGAAAAUAGGUACGUAAUUAAUUGCCAUGCCGUCUCUAACUAACUCUAACCCACCUUAGAUACAGUGGAGCGACACAUAUCUAAUUAUCUAUCACAUCCAAUCACUGGAUAACAAAAUAUAUAUCUAUCCCAAAAUAAUUUCGGAUAUAAGAAAAUAUUCUUGUUGCUCAUAAGAUAAGAUAACAUAUAUUUUGGGGGUUAUUUAUUUUAUAUUAUAUUAUUGAAGCCAUUUAUUAAAUUAGGAUAAAAUAUUAUUUUAGUCUUUAAUAUUAUUGUUGGACGGUCGAUUUCACUUAUAUACUAAAAUCGAACGUUAUUGUCUCUUCAAUAUGUUAAUUAUUCGUGUUAAAUUUAAUAGUGGUAUAAUAUUAAGCUCAUUUAAAACUCUUAAAAUUAAAAUAUAUGUUUGAAAUAUUAGAAAUUAAAUUAAAUUUUAUCCCAAUAAUUACUUUAUCCAGUAAAUUAUCAUAUUAUAUUGAAAAUUAGAAAUACAGUUUACCAAGAGCUUAUUGCUUACAUACAUAUAAAUAUAAAUAAUGUUCAUGUGAUAUGUAUGAUCUCUAAUAAUAGUCUAAUUAACAGAAACGGGUCACCAUGAAGAGCACAUGAUGAUGAUUAUUAAACCUUAAUUCAACUAAAAUGAGUAAAUUAAAGGAAGAAGUAAUGCAAAAAGUAGUUAAAAAAGUCAAAAGUCAAUCCACUCAUAACACAAGGAAUUGAACAUGCGUACAAAAAUGAGCACGACCCACAACUAAUUAAUUAGUAAAGCAAAUUUUAUCAAGAUAUUAGAGGAAAAUGAAAAUGCUAGAAGGGAUAACAUACCAUACUACAUUAAUAAUAAAAGUACUUUAACAAAACCAAUAAGUUAUAACUCAAAUGACAUAGUCUUCCCAUAUUCAAUUAAUAGGUUGCAAGUUCGAGUAUCCUAUCUUUGAUUAAAAAAAAAGUACUCUACAAAAAUAUAUUUUUUCGAUUUUUUUUAAAAAGAUUUAUAGAAAAAUAAAACUAAUUUUAUGUUUAAAUCUCUUGCAAAAAAAAUUUUCAUUUAUUAAUUACGUUUGGANNNNNNNNNNNNNNNNNNNNNNNNNNNNNNNNNNNNNNNNNNNNNNNNNNNNNNNNNNNNNNNNNNNNNNNNNNNNNNNNNNNNNNNNNNNNNNNNNNNNNNNNNNNNNNNNNNNNNNNNNNNNNNNNNNNNNNNNNNNNNNNNNNNNNNNAGAGUAAUUUCUGAAAAAAAUAUUUUUUUUAUUUUUUAGUAUUUUUUAUUAUUAAAAAUUUAUUAAACAUGUUCAAAAAUAAAAAAAUAUAUUUUUUAUUAAAAAAUAUUUUUUUAUCAACUUAAUAACGUUCAAACAAACACUUAACCUCUUAUAAAAUAUUUAUUCUUCCCUUUACUAUUAAAUAAAUUAGCAAUUGGCCUUUGUUACGUUAGUAGUAUAGAACUUUACUAUCUUAUUAUAUUCAUGAGAGAGCCUAAUAUAUCUUGUUAUAUAAACUAAAAUUAACUCAAUAAUGGAUAUUUAUUGAAAUGUGCACAAAGAAGAAUUAAGAUCAUAUUGGUAUAAUUAAAUGGAUGAAUUGGUAAAAAAAAAAAAAAAUUAGAAAUGUUUGUGUGGACUAUGGAGUCAUAAUGCACCGAUGUUAAUUUAGGGAAGCGAUCAAGGGAUGUUCUACCAAGUCCAAUAACUUCAUCACCAAAGCCCAAUGUUAUUGGGUUUGGUUUAGAUUUUUCAACUUUCAUCCGAUGAGGUUUUUGCAUAACUUCAAUUAUACUUUAUAUUACAGGUCCAAAAAAAAAAAUUAUACUUUAUAUUAGUGUCUAGCUUAGAACAAAAUCAUAUAAUUUUUUAAUUUUAUUGUAUAUGUUUAUGGUUUUGCAAAUAUUAUGAUUUUGUUUUAGCUUCUGUUUAAUAUUUUCCUUUUAAAAAAACGGACUUAUUGAGAAAAGUUUUUUAACACUAAGUCUCAUAAAAAAUUAAGGUACUUUCAUCUAAUUCGUAAUUAUUUUUUUUUUCUUUCUUUCUUUCAAUCUUAAAUUGAUUUAUUAGAUUUUGUAAAUAUCUAUUACAUAGAGACAUUUAUUUGUCUUGUUUUAUUUAAUUUUUUUAAGUAAAUUUAUGUUGUUUGUCUAAUUUUGUAUGCUUUACUUUACUGUGUUGAGUUCUUAUUUAAAAAAAAAAAACUAUUAAAUUUACNNNNNNNNNNNNNNNNNNNNNNNNNNNNNNNNNNNNNNNNNNNNNNNNNNNNNNNNNNNNNNNNNNNNNNNNNNNNNNNNNNNNNNNNNNNNNNNNNNNNNNNNNNNNNNNNNNNNNNNNNNNNNNNNNNNNNNNNNNNNNNNNNNNNNNNNNNNNNNNNNNNNNNNNNNNNNNNNNNNNNNNNNNNNNNNNNNNNNNNNNNNNNNNNNNNNNNNNNNNNNNNNNNNNNNNNNNNNNNNNNNNNNNNNNNNNNNNNNNNNNNNNNNNNNNNNNNNNNNNNNNNNNNNNNNNNNNNNNNNNNNNNNNNNNNNNNNNNNNNNNNNNNNNNNNNNNNNNNNNNNNNNNNNNNNNNNNNNNNNNNNNNNNNNNNNNNNNNNNNNNNNNNNNNNNNNNNNNNNNNNNNNNNNNNNNNNNNNNNNNNNNNNNNNNNNNNNNNNNNNNNNNNNNNNNNNNNNNNNNNNNNNNNNNNNNNNNNNNNNNNNNNNNNNNNNNNNNNNNNNNNNNNNNNNNNNNNNNNNNNNNNNNNNNNNNNNNNNNNNNNNNNNNNNNNNNNNNNNNNNNNNNNNNNNNNNNNNNNNNNNNNNNNNNNNNNNNNNNNNNNNNNNNNNNNNNNNNNNNNNNNNNNNNNNNNNNNNNNNNNNNNNNNNNNNNNNNNNNNNNNNNNNNNNNNNNNNNNNNNNNNNNNNNNNNNNNNNNNNNNNNNNNNNNNNNNNNNNNNNNNNNNNNNNNNNNNNNNNNNNNNNNNNNNNNNNNNNNNNNNNNNNNNNNNNNNNNNNNNNNNNNNNNNNNNNNNNNNNNNNNNNNNNNNNNNNNNNNNNNNNNNNNNNNNNNNNNNNNNNNNNNNNNNNNNNNNNNNNNNNNNNNNNNNNNNNNNNNNNNNNNNNNNNNNNNNNNNNNNNNNNNNNNNNNNNNNNNNNNNNNNNNNNNNNNNNNNNNNNNNNNNNNNNNNNNNNNNNNNNNNNNNNNNNNNNNNNNNNNNNNNNNNNNNNNNNNNNNNNNNNNNNNNNNNNNNNNNNNNNNNNNNNNNNNNNNNNNNNNNNNNNNNNNNNNNNNNNNNNNNNNNNNNNNNNNNNNNNNNNNNNNNNNNNNNNNNNNNNNNNNNNNNNNNNNNNNNNNNNNNNNNNNNNNNNNNNNNNNNNNNNNNNNNNNNNNNNNNNNNNNNNNNNNNNNNNNNNNNNNNNNNNNNNNNNNNNNNNNNNNNNNNNNNNNNNNNNNNNNNNNNNNNNNNNNNNNNNNNNNNNNNNNNNNNNNNNNNNNNNNNNNNNNNNNNNNNNNNNNNNNNNNNNNNNNNNNNNNNGUACAAAAAAAUUAUAUUUUUAAUAUUUAUAAUAGGGUUAAGUACUGAAAUCGUCCCUAAGCUAAGGGGCGAAAAUCAAAUUCGUCCCCAACCUUUUUUUGUUAUUAAAAUCAUCCCGAACGUUCAGAAACACUUUAAAAUCUUCCUCAAGUCCAUUAAAAAAAUUUUAAUUCCAAAUUUGCCCCUGAACCCUUUGACGCUUGGUGUUUUAUUCCCGCGAAUUCCAAUUCAUUACGUGAGUAACGUUACACAAAGGAACACUGAUCCUUCACUUUCAAUGAUGCCCUAACUGAGUGAGUGCUGGCCUGAGGAGUAGCGUCACUGCGUCUGGAUUGCGUGGAAAAGAGUAGAACAGGAGCUCGUUCUCAUGGCAGUCAUCUAGAAUCAGGUACGUGUGCAGCAUUUGUUUUGAUUUUUUGGAGCUUGAACUUAAUACUGUGUGAAGGGUAUUUGGUGGUUUACAAAUGGGAGUUGGGUGUGAUUUUUGUUUGUAGGUUUUAGGUGAUGGGAACCUCAGGGUGGCAAAGUCCGAGUUUUAGAGGAGAUGCUGCCGAAAUUUUAUAGAAAUUAGAGAUUUUGUUUAUAUGAUUAUUUAAAAAGAUUUAGAUUUAAAGGUUAUAUGGUUUGAUUUUGAGUUAUUAAGAAAAUGAGCAUGUUUUAAGUUUGAUUCAUUUAGAAAAGAAUGAAUUAUAUUUUGAAUUGGAACUAUUGAUGGACGGAAUGGGAGGUGUGAUAAUGAAGGAUAAGGAUUGAAUAUGAUUGAUGUAUGAUGAUGAAUGAGAUGCAAUUGAGAAUGAUGUGGAUGUUGAGGAAUUAUAAUUGAAUUAUUUAUAUGGCUUAUGAAUUUGAAUAAUCUGAGAUACGAGAUUCCCUGGAUAAUAAGGUUAAGUUAAGUUAGGUUUAAAUAUCCUUAGUAAACCACCCUUUAUGGCUUCUGUUUAAUACUUUAAGCUCUAUAAUCUGAGUGUCGGUGUUCUAGGAUUGCCUCUGGCAUUCCCAGGACCUUAUAUAUUAUGUGUGUGGCACCUUUACCAUACUGAGAACCUCCGGUUCUCAUUCCAUACUAUGUUGUUAUUUUUCAGAUGCAGGUCGAGAGGCAUCUCGUUAGGCGUCUGGACUCUUAAAGCGGAGGGGUUACUGGAUAGUGUUGUUGUAUAGUUUUGUUGUACAGUGAUGUAUAUAUAUGUACUUAGCUUUCUCUCCGCAUAACUUGUCCUUUUUGAUCCUCUUAGAGGUUUAUGGAGAGGCAGGAUUGUGUGUAUGUACUUUUGGGUUUUGGAUAUGUAUAUAUAUAUGUGUAAAUAUUCUCCGGCCAGUCUUGACUUCGCAGGCUGAGUUAGGAGCUUGUUAUUUUGUAUCUUUGGCACUCUAUUCCUACUUCUGUUAUCUUAUGUUUGACAGUUACAGUUUUCUUAGCAUGCAAGUUAACUCGUUCCUUGAGCGUUGCGCUUUUAUCUCGCGAUUUUUAUUUUCCCUAUCCUUCAAGGCUCCUAGCAUAUUAUAACUCUUCUGCUAUUAUAUGUACUUAUUUUAUUUUAGAGGUCGUAAUACCACAUCACCUCUGUUUUACGACUUAAGCGUAAAGCUUUGUGUGGUAGGGUGUUACACAUGUCGAUCUGUACGUGGUCCAUAAGGUUGAGGUUGAUGAAGACUUUCCUGAAGUAGGGUUUCUUGAUGUUGGAGGCCCAGGUGAACAGGUUCAGGAGACGGAGAGGGCCAAUGAUGAAGAGAUACAUAAUCAAAAACAGCUGGUGAUUUAUCAGGGUGAUGGGGUUCAAAAGGUGGAAAGGGCCAAUGCAGAGGGGGUUAAAGAAGGAGAUAAGCUGAAUAGUGAUGAGGAUAGUGACGAUGAGGAUUUCAUUCCAUCUGAUGGUGAGGUUGACAGUGCAGAUGAUGUGAUGUUUACAGAUAGUGAAGAGGAGUAUGAUGAUGAGAGCGAAUUUGAUGAAGUACGAGGUGGGACGGAUGGUGAUCGGGUUGAAAAAGGAAAAGGGGUUGCAGGAGGUGAUUUCAGUGAUGAGGAAGGGUUCAAUAGUGAUGAAGUUGAUGUUGAUUAUGAAGUGGGUGGUGGUUCCGAGAAAGAGGAUAGCGAGGAUGAUGAUAACAAUGAAGCAAUUAGAUAUCCGAUCCAUAAAGAUGUGAAAGACAUGACAAGGUACAAAUGGGAAGUUGGAACUGUGUUUGCUUCAAGGGAGGAAUUCAAGGACACUGUAACAGCUUAUGCAGUGCAAACAAGAAGGGGAAUGAGGUAUGCGAAACUUGACUUGGUCAGGGUGAGGGCUGUUUGUCAAGAGGGUUGCCCGUUUUAGUUAUAUGCAGCAAAAAUGAGUGAGAGCUUUAAUAGUGUAAUAGUAGACUCUAGGGAGAAACCUAUAGUGACAAUGUUGGAGGACAUUAGGGUUUAUUUGAUGAGUAGGUGGGCUCUUAAUAGGAAAAGAAUUAAGAACUUUAAUGGGACAGUUUUACCUCGGAUUAGGAUGAAAUUAGAGAGGAGAGGCAGAUCAGCUAGUGAGUGGAGGCCUUACUGGUCUACUGCACAAACAUAUGAGGUUGUUAAUGGUUUGUCUAAAUUUGCUGUUGAUCUUUCUGCUCACGAGUGCUCCUGUAGGAAGUGGCAGCUUAGUGGUAUCCCCUACACCCACGCCAUUAGCUGCAUCAACUAUAAGGGCCUUGACAUAGAUGGAUUUGUUGAUGACUGCUACAAGAAGCCUGCAUAUGUCAAGUGCUAUGAUUCAGUCAUCAAUCCUCUGAAUGGCUCAGAUUUGUGGGAGGAAACCAACUUUGAUGAUGUCAUGCCCCCUCCUUAUCGAAAGCCUAGCCACAGACCAGUCAAGAAGAGGAAGAGAGGACCUAAUGAGCCUCCGGACAGCAGCCAGUUCCACUUGUCUAGGAGGGGACAAAUUCAAAGGUGCUCAAACUGUGGUGAAUCUGGACACAAGAGGGGAGGAUGCAAGAAGCCAUCCCUGGAUGUAAGUGUGUGUAUAUCAUCAACUGCAUGUAUGUUAGGUUUACAGUUUCAUUUUUUAAUCAACUAAAUUCUUUAAUGUCUUUCAGGCCCAACAACCAAGGCAAGCUGCUAGCAAAAGGACCAGAGGAGGAAGGAAGCCUUCAUCUAUCAGACCUAAAACCAGAUCUAAGACUUCAUCCCAGCCUGACAUGCCAUCUGCAAGUGGAGGUUUGAGGAGGUCCACCAGGUCUAGAGCAGCAUCUCAGUCCCAACCAGCCACCCCCUAUUCUCAGCCCAACUCAACCCAUUCCAGGUCCAAGCCCACAUCAUCCUCUACUAGGCCCAACAGAAAGCCCACUAGAAGCCUUACACAAGAAUCAUCAGCACCAAAGGAAAAGGGUGCAGCCAGCUCCAGCCAACCAGCCAGGCCAGUCUCCUUUAGUUACAGAAUUUCACUGUAUGUUUUCCCUAAAAGGCUGAGGCUCAUGGCUAAACUUCCACCAAGACUUUGGGAAAAAAUUUAGGCUGUUCUAAAAAUUUGUCUUUUGUGCUGUAAUUAAUGUACUGUUGUUUGGUUUGAGAUAAUGUUUGUGACACUUUUCUUUUGAUUUUUUAAAAACUAGACAACAUGGCUUAUGAUCUUUCUUAGUGAGCAACAGAAUUGCAGUAGAUUUUUUGAGUAUCUUGGACUAUAUUUUGUUUAGUCUCCAUGUAAUGGAAUUGAUGGUAUCCACCAUUUGGUGUUAUUUUCCUAUGCUUAUUACUGAAUUACACUAGACUGUGUUCUGCCUCAUAUUAUGCUGCUUCUGUUUAAUGAAUUUCCUUAAUUGAGUUGAUAUGUUACAGAGUUGAUUAACAGAAGAGUUAAGUCACAAUUUUCUUGCUAACAGAUAAAUUUUCCAUUCCAAUUAAUUGUCAAAUUACAUGGAGAUAAUUACACUCACAAAAUUAAUCAGCAAAAUCCUAAACUAAAUCCAGAUGUUCAGCAAGACCCAAUACAUCUCAAUUUACAUAACUCAGACCCAAUCAAAGAAAUGCAAACUGAACACUAAAUUCUCUCCUAAUUUCAUCAACCAUACUUCAAUGGCAUCACACACGCUACCCCCUCCCUCUGAUUGAACCAAAUCUGAGACCAGAAGCAAAACAAAACAAGCCAUCCAGAAAUCCCUAGCACUGCAGCAACCUUGAACUUCCACUCAAUGUCCCUCACUUUUGCUUUCAGAGCAGCAACUUUCCUCUUCAUCUUUGCAACAUGGGGAUCCUCACUCUCUGCUUCUGGGUCUGCCCAUCGGAAGAAAUCACACUCCUCCUGGAUCUGCAACAACUCAUCAGAGUCAGAGCCCAGAACAAACAAUACCUUGCCAUCACCCACCUACAGAAACUUAAAACCCUAACCUCAUAGUAGACACACCCCCAAAAUCGUCGCCCAGGGUUGUUCCUCGUUCCCGAAAUCCUAAGCACGGGUCUCUCUCCAUGUCCACACACAAGCUCCCUCUUCUACGCAGACGACCGACUCCGGCACGACCGUGAGCUCUCGGUAGCCAUGGCUCCACUCACCUUCGCAUGCCCUUCCUCCUUCUCUGCUUCGUUGGUUAGGGAUGACUUCUCUGAUUUAAUCCCAACCCUCCCCAAAUCACAACUUUAUAUAAAUAAAUAAAUAAACAAAUAAAUUAACUUUAUUUAUUAAACCCUCCAACGGAUAGUAACGGCUAAAGGACAAAAGUGUCCAAAAAUUUUGUUUUCAGGGGGAAAGAACGAUUUUAAAGUGUUUCUGAACAUUCAAGAUGAUUUUAAUAACAAAAAAAUGUCGGUGACGAAUUUGAUUUUCACCCCUUACCUUAGAAAAGAUUUCAGUACUUAACCCUUUAUAAUAUCUAUUUAUCAAAGAAUUAAUUAUUAUGUUAAUAAAAAUUUAAUUAUAAAAUUUAAUAUAAUAUAAAAAUUUAAUUAAAUAAUAUAAAAAUCUAAUUAAAAAUUCCUUAUGAGGAUCUUAAAUUAAAUCUUUUAUCAAACGGCAUCAAAUGAUUCCAGUGAGUAGAUUCUAAAAUCCUAUGAUUAAGAAAAUGACUUUGACUGGCAGGUAUCUUUGUCUCACCUUCAAUACCCUUUUCUUCUCUUUCUUGUUCUUCUUUUCUUCACUGUUCAUUUUCCUUUCUAAUUCUACUGAUUUACUCCAACCCACACCAUCCCUUCACAAUUCUCUGCUACCCUUUUGGAAAAAGUUUCAAUUGUUGGUUGUUGAAAGUUCAAACUCUCUGCUAUUUAGUCUUCACCCAGCAACCAUUCAUAGGAACAUACAAAGAGUGUAACCAAUCACUUCCUCUCUCUGCUUGUGAUCAAGGACUGGGUAUCUUGGAAAAUGCUUUAGGUACUUCAAUUCAACUCAAAGUUUUCUUUUUUGAGCUUGUGACUUGCAUAUCUGUGUAUUCACCUCUUGAGUUUUGUUUGUCUACCAUGUUGGUUCAUGUAUGGAGAUUGGAGAUACAAUAGUGGUUUCUUUAAGCUUUCAGUGUUUGUUGUUACUAUUCAUAUUGCAUAGAGUUGUUGAAUCUAUUCUGAAUCCUUGAUUAUCCUUAUAUGUUAUAUUGAGGAAAUAGUUAAGGGUUUCAAACUUUGUUUUGAGCUGAAGCUCAUUCAAUCAUUGUAUGGCAAGUGAAAAGGUUCUGAUACCAUGUUUAAAUCCAUGGAAGUGAAAGUCUCAAUUAACUUGAGAGAAAAUGUGAAUGAUUUCAUGAUAUUUUUGGAGGUACAAUGUGAUUGCAGCAUAUGUCCUUUUUAUAUAGACACAAACACAACCCUAUUUUUGAUAUUAUCUCCAAUAUGAGAUUUAUAUGCUAUUUCCAUUUUUGACACUUUUCAACAUACUUGAAUCAUAGGCAUUGAUGUCAUUUAUCUGUGGCCUUCCUAUACUUGAGUGUGUUUAUUGUCUUGGGUGUGCUCGUUGGGUUUGGAAGAAAUGUCUGUACACUGCAGGCUAUGAGAGUGAAAACUGGGGCCUAGCUACUGCUGAAGAAUUCGAGCCUGUACCUCGAAUCUGCCGGAUAAUCUUAUCGGUUUAUGAGGAAGAUCUUCGUAACCCCCAAUGGGCUCCGCCAGGGGGUUAUGGCAUGAACCCUGACUGGGUUGUCUUGCGUAAGGAUUAUGAGGAUAAUCAAGGUUGUGUUACUCCAUACAUGAUAUAUCUUGACCAUGAUCAUGCUGAAAUUAUACUGGCUGUUAGGGGCCUUAAUUUAGCAAAGGAAAGUGAUUAUGCAGUUUUACUUGAUAACAAACUGGGGCAGGCUGAGUUUCAUGGUGGUUAUGUUCAUAAUGGGUUACUUAAGGCUGCAGGCUGGGUUUUCGAUGCGGAGUAUGAGGUUCUUCGGGAUUUGAUAGCGAAGAAUCCGACAUAUAUGCUCAUAUUUGGUGGACACUCCCUAGGGGCAGGGGUGGUAGCAUUAUUGACAUUGCUAGCACUUGAUAACCGAGACAAAUUGGGGAUACAGAGAAACAAGAUAAGAUGCUUUGCCUUAGCUCCUACUCGGUGCAUGUCUCUCAAUUUGGCUGUAAGAUAUGCAGAUGUUAUCAAUUCCGUUGUACUCCAGGUUGGAUAGUUUUCUCUGAUUUUGAUCUUGUUAACAUAUUCCCUAACUGAACUAGUUGGCAUAGUAGUGUUUUAAGUGGACAACAUUAUCUGUUAAAGUUUACCAACGUAUGCACAAAUUAGUAAUGGCUGAGGUGAAAUGGACUUCAUAUCACAUCUAUGUUUGCAUAUGUAGCAUGUUUUUGUGUCAGUUUGAGUGUUGAAUAUAAACAAGUAAGAAAAUACAUUCUUACAAUUCAUACAAGUAAACGUAUAUAGCCUAUCUGGAAAAGAUAUUUUCCCCUCUUAACUUUUACCUUUGAAUUUAUUAGUUUUGUGCACUAAUAUUCCAUACAUGGUUUUAUCUGACAAGCAGGAUGAUUUUUUGCCUCGGACAACUACUGCUCUAGAAGUUCUCUUCAAGUUGCUUUUAUGGUAAAUUUUGUAUGUCUUCCUUACCCUUUCCCCCCAAUUAAGGCAUCAAUGAAAACUAUAAUUAAGCCGUCAGUGACUUAACUGUGCGAAAACUGAAAUGUAAAGAGAUUGAAUUCAAGAUGCAUUACAUGGAAUAAUUUGAAUUUUGAUACAAAUUAGUGAAUUUUGCAUUCUAUAUGUACAAUUCAUCUUUUGCCAUUAAGAUGAACUAAAAAAGUUUUGAACCCUUUUGUUGGCAGUUUACCUUGUUUACUGUGUAUAAUGUGCCUAAAGGAUACUUGCACACUGGAGGAGAAGAUGCUUAAAGAUCCAAGGCGUCUAUACGCACCUGGUCGUCUCUAUCACAUUGUGGAGCGGAAGCCCUUGAGGUAAAUUAUGAUACUCUGAGUACAAAUGCUUUGAAUGUUACUCUACAAAUGUUAUCAGGUGGAAACUCAGGUGCAGUCGACUUCACGUGAAGUUGAUAUCUGAGAGCCGUUAAAUUUUUUGACUUAUUUGACUAAAUUUUCAUCUAACGGCUCUCAGGUAUCAACUUCACGUGAAGUCGACUUCACCUGAGUUUUUACCAUAGAUAGAUAAGAUAGAGUUGAAAGUUGUAAGUUUAUGGUUUCUUACAUAGAAGAGACAAAUUUGCAUAUAUUUUUUCUUUUGGGGAAAUUCAAAAGAAAUUUAGCUUAUUGUGGGUGCAGGAUAGGAAGAUUUCCACCUGUCGUUAGGACAGCAGUACCCGUUGAUGGGAGGUUCGAUCAUAUUGUUCUUUCUUGCAAUGCAACUUCCGACCAUGCCAUCAUUUGGAUUGAGAGAGAAGCCCAAUGGGCUCUUAAUGUAAGCUAUUAAUUUCUUCCAAUGAAUUGUAUUCGUCAGGUUCAUCGUAGCUGUCGAAUUAACAGAAUACAUAAAUUCAGUUCUAAUUUUAGUCUUUAUUAUCUUAUCUUAUAUUAUAUUAUCUUUACUUUUAUCUUUCGUAGGCAAUGCUCUAUAUAUAUUUAGUUUUACCUUCAUAAUUUACAAAUUCAAUUCAAUCAAUCAACAUUCAAUAAAAGUUCUUCAUCUUUUCUUUUCCUAUUCUUUCACAAUUUUAUCACAAUUAAUUGAAACUAUAUAGAUUUGCCGAGUAAUCUAACCUUCAAUAUUAUAUAGGGAUAUCCUUCAAAUAUAUCAAUGUAUCUUGUUCUUCCGAAUUUUGUUUCUCUAUAUACUGAUGACUAUAUUCUAUAAAUAUGGUCUAAAUCCUAAAAGUUGAAUUCUAUUUUCUAUAAGAAUUUGUGUUACUAUUUAGUUCUAAUUGAUCAUUGUUUAGUUUUGACAUGGCAGUGUGUAUCUGCAUUUAAAGCAUUAUAUUUCUUGCAACAGUUAAUGCUAGAGAAAGAUAAGCAGAUGGAAAUUCCGGCAGAACAAAAGAUGGUCCGGCAAGAAUCACUGGCUCGGGAGCACAGCCAAGAGUACCACGCGGCCCUUCAAAGGGCGGUCGCUUUGGAUAUUCCGCAAGCUUAUUCGCCGUCCUCAUACGGAACCUUUCAGGAAAUACAUGACGGGGAAGAUUCGGGCGGUUUGAGAAGGUCCAAAGGGUCUUUCUUGUCCAACAAGCAAAGAACAGAAAGUUGGAAUGAGUUUGUUGGGCGCCUUUUUGAUGUAGAUGACUCAGGUCAUAUGGUUUUCAAGAAAACAAAUGUGUAAAAUAGUGUGUUUUUCUAAUAACCACUAUCUUAGCUUGAAUAAGUAGCAUUUCUUUCUUUCUUUUCUUUGUCUCUCUUCACUUUUUCCUUGUUUUAAUUUUGGUUUUAUUAACAAUCUUAACGAAAAUUAACAUCAUAAUUGAAUUAUAUCUUUUGGUUUUUUACGGUAUCUCCUAGUCCGACAGGUCAAUCUCCUAGUCCGACAGGUCAAUGACUAAUCUGUCAUGGAUUGAAGUUCUAUUUAAAAGUUUGUUGCCUGAAUUACAUCUUAUUAAAAGGGUUUGACUCAAUUUGGGUUAAAGGGAAUUGGUGUGAGUAUUUAAUUGGAUCAACAAAAUGAUCCAAUGCAAGUGCAAUAUUAAUACAUAUCCCUAUCUAUAUUGCAAUCUAGUGUCCAGAUUCUGUGUCUUACAACUAAUUUUCGUAGCUAAAAACCUUUUUUCUUAGGUCAAUCUUAUUAUAUAUGUUUUAGAUAUCAUUUUAUCACACUGUUUUCUGGUUGGAGCCAGAGACAUUAAUGUCUCUGCAUCCAUGGUUGGAAAUUGGGACAAUCUCAAUUUUGGAAUGACUUCUUUAUUAUCUAUUAUUUAACUAAAUGAUGAUUAUAAAUGAAGAGAUUUCAUUUUACUACAUUUAGUUCAUUGAUUAAGGAUAUACUUGACAAGCCAAUGAGAUAUAGUUUAAAUGGUAUAGUCUUCUCAUGCUUAAUUAAGAGAUCGCGGGUUUGAGUCUCCUAUCUUUGGUUAAAAAAAAAAAAGAUAUACUUAACAAUUUAGUAAUAAUUUUCAUAUAGAAAAAUUAGAGUAAUAGAUAUCAUAAAACAAAAAAUGGCAUUAUAAUUUACAUAAAAUGUUACCCCAUUUAUAGGGGAAAUUACAUAUUGUGUUUGAUAUAAUUAAAAUAACAACUAUGUUAUAUACACACUAAAAUCAGCUACCAAAAUUAACUAUUAGUAUAAAAUGUAUGUUAAAAUAUAAAUAUAUAUUAAAAAUAAAUUAAAUUAUAUAUAUAUUUAUGCAUAAAUGCAUUAGUAGCUAAUUUUAGUAUACGAAUAGUAUUUUUAUUAAAAUAAAUACAUGCACAAAAAAGUCAUCCCGAAACACUUAAGUCAAACAAAUAAAAUAUAAUUCACUAAAAAAUAAAAAUAGUCAAACAAUAAAAUAACAGACUGAAAAUAUUUUUAAAUUCUUCAAAUUGUAAUGAACCAUUAUAUGACUAAAUAUCUAUUUCUUUCAAUUGAGAGUCUAUAUUCUUAUAAUAUUCUUUGACUUGCAAGGCUAAAAUUAAAGGAUAUGUAUGGAAUCAAUGUAUCAAACUUUGCAUAAAUGUUAAUUGGCUAAUAUAUGUAUUUUUAUUUUGCAACAGCACCUAAAUUUCAAGUACUUGCUUGUGUGUUCAUAUGUUUGAAUUUGACCAACAAUUAUAUUAUAUAUGUGUACUUAUAAAAUAUUAAUAUAAUGGACAUUGUACUAAAUUACAUCUUAUUAUUAGAUCGAUUGACUGCAAAUUCAAUUAAGAAUUUUAUUUCAUUAAUAGUAAAUAAACUGUGACAAUCAAUAUGGUGUCUUGUAUUCUAUAAGUCUCAUUUAAUAACUACUUUAUUAAAUAAAGAAAAAGAUAUAAAAAUAUAAAUUUGUUUGAAAAAAUGAAGAUAGAAAAUAAAACAAGAAAAAUAUUUUUGUACUUACACAAGAUUUGUUCAAUUUUAUGUUUAUUCCUAUCUCUAUAUAUCAUCUCAAUAAUGUUUUUAUAUUUUUAUCUUUAAGUACAUAAUAUAAUAACUAGAAAAAAGGACAAAUCGAUCCUAAUUUUUUUGGUCUGUAGACAUUUAAGUCCUGAGAAUUUAAAAAUACAUUUAAGUCAUUGACUUCUUCAAAAUCUGGACACAUCGAUUUUUAGGUCUAAUUUGUUACAUUUUAAAAACUCUCACGUGUGUAUUCGUAUCAACCAGAUCAGUACAAGAAAGUCACGUUUGAUUUUUUCAUUGGGCCUUACAAAUCCAAGUGAAUAUAAGAGAUUGAUAUGUCUAGAUUUUAAAAAAGUCAAAGACUUAAAUAUAUUUUCAAAUUUUUGAGAACUUAAAUGUCUCGGAUCAAUCAAAAGUUCAAAAACUUAUUUGUUCUUUUCUCUAAUAACUAAUAAGCCAACAAAGCUUCUUGUAUAUGUUAUUAACUUAAAAAUGAUGGUUUAAUGGUUAAUUUCCUGGUCUUAAGCACCAUUAGUAGUGGUUAUUGACCAAGUAAUUUAGUCAAAACCUUUUCACAUAAGAAUGUGAGUUCCAUGCAUUGCGGAAUAUACAAUUUCCAUCAUGGUUGGUGUGCUUUCCUUACCAGCCUGUCCUUCUGACUGUGAAUGCAUUUUCUUACACAUAUUAUAGUUCACGCUUUCUAUAAAGUAUUGUGGACGUGUUUUUCACGGUGAAAACUCAGGUGCAGUCGAUUUCACGUGAAGUUGAUAACUGAGAGGCGUUAGAUGAUUUGACUGAUUUGACUAAAUUUUUAUAUAACGACUCUCAACUAUCAACUUUACGUGAAGUCAACUGCACCUGAGUUUUCGCCAUUUUUCACACACACAAAACAAAGUGUAUUAAAGUAAGUAACUCUCUCAUAGUGGAGGCUAAGAAAAAUUUUUAAGCACUUUAGGAAAGAUUUUAUAUUUUUACUAAAGCCAUGUUGAAG
rnacentral:lncRNA from 1 species